UCAGGUUUUCAAGUGCUAGCUUCAGGGUUGACGAAUUUGGAGAAACUUGAUCUGCGUUACAAUAAAUUUAACGACAACAUUUUAUUAUAUCUCAGUGGAUUUUCAACUCUCAAAUCUCUAGAUCUAUCAGACAACAUGUUUACAGGAUCAACUGGUCUCAAUGGUAAAGUUGUAAAUCAAUCCUACCUCGAAUGACAUUCCCUCUUGAGGUUUAAUAAUUACAUGUGUAUUAACCCUUAAGUAAUUGUUUGGAUGAAGCCUUAAAAAGGCUUUAUAUAAUUAAUUCUUUAACGAGUGAAAUAAUUUGAAAAUGACAUGUAAACGCUAUUAACUUUCUUUUAAUUUUUUAAUUUUUUUUAAAUAAAUAAAGGUGAAUAUUUAAUUAAUAAAAUUUUAAUAUUAUAUUAAAAAUUAUUUUAAUUUAAAAACUUAAGCUAUGUCUUGUAUAUUAACUCUAACAUUAUAAAUUAUUUAAUUAUUGUAAAUAAUCAUUAUUGAUUGUUCUCUCUAUCACAGGUUUAAGGAAUUUAGAAAUCUUGAAUCUAGAUUCAAAUGACUUCAAGGAAAGCAUUUUGAUAGACUCAUUGGGAGUGUUGCCAUCCCUCAAGACCUUAUAUGCUAUUGAUAGUAAUUUUACACACUUUGGGAAAGGUCAGUGACAGUUUUGGUGCCUAAAGCAAUACGAUAUUUAUAAUAUAUUGAUGGAUUUAUUUGAUCUGUUCCAUAGGGUUGUGUAAUUCGUCUAGCCUUGAAGAAGUGUACCUCGAUUUUUCUUCUCUCCCAGCAAGCUUUCUUAGGAACAUUGGACCCUUGUCUACUCUUAAAGUCCUAUCAUUGCUCGGAGUUGACUUCAAUAGCACCCUACCUGCUCAAGGUAAUUCUACAAAUGAACAAUUAUAAGAGUAUUGAAAUCCAAAUAACAGUUGUUCAUUAGAUAUUUGUGUUAUAUCUAUGUUUUAUUAAACUAGAAAUUUACUCCUAAUGUUACGUAAAGAAAAGGAUAAAAUCUAGAGUUUCUCAAUCUCUAAAAUUUCUCAGUCCUAAAAUUAGGGUAGCUGGCAGAUGCAUGGACACGUGUUAGAAGUUGUUAAGAGUCAACUAGAGUUAGUUAACAGUAGAAUAAACCGUGUAAUGCAUGUGGGGAAGUAUAUAUAUAAUGGUAGGAGGAUUACGCACGCAAGAAAUAACAGAAUCAUUCUCCUCUUAACAACCAUCCUUGAAGACCCUUUCUCUCAAGGAUACUGGUUAAUCAGUGUUUAGUUUCUUAAAAUCUUAAUUAAUAAUAUUGAAAUGAAUGACUAUUCUGUACCACCACUAUUUUCAUCAUACCUUUUCUUCAUUUUUUUUUGUCACAGGGAUUUUCUUCAAUUCGAGCACCCUUGAAGAAUUGUAUCUAGAUUACACUUCUCUCCCAUUAAACUUUCUCCAGAACAUCGGAGCAUUGCCUGCUCUUAAAGUAUUGUCUGUUAGUUACUGUAACCUCAAUGGCACCCUGCUCACUCAAGGUAAAUUAACAACUCUCCAUCCACUCAAGAUUCUUUCAACAUUAUAUAUUUUGACUAUUUCCAUAUAAAUUGUAUAGGUUGUUUUUAAUUGAAGGCUUACUCCUAACUUUACGCUUUAUUUAGCAAAGAAUAACAUCUAGGGUUUCUUAAUUUCUAAAAUUUUUCGUUCCUAAAAAACUUUGAAUUAAAAAAAUUAUGGAUAUAAAUUAUUAAAUUAUGGAUAUAAAUAAUCUAAAUAACCAAUCUCUAAUAUAUAUAUCGAUAUAUUUUUACAGGCUUGUGUGAACUGAAGAAUCUUGAACAGCUAUAUCUCUCAGGAAACAAUCUAAUGGGCGUACUCCCUCCUUGUUUUGGAAAUCUAUCAUUUCUACAAGUCUUGGAUGUAUCCUACAACCAAUUGGAGGGGAAUAUUGCCUCUGGUCACCUUUCCCAUCUUACGCAGCUCAAAUCCCUCGAAGUUUCAAAUAACAACUUUCAAGUCCCAAUAUCAUUUGGUUCAUUUAUGAACCUCUCCAACCUCAAGUUCAUUGCAUGCGAUAACAAUGAGCUAAUAGCUGCACCCAGUUUUCAGCCUUCAGCUCCCAAGUUCCAGCUUCUUUACUUUAGUGCUUCAAACUGUACUUCAAAACCACUCGAGGCUGGAUUUCCAAACUUCCUCCAGAGCCAACAUGAUUUGGUGUUUGUUGAUCUAUCCCACAACAAAUUCGUUGGACAACCUUUCCCAUCUUGGUUGUUUGAGAAUAAUACAAAGUUAAAUCAACUAUAUUUGAGAGACACCUCAUUUAGAGGUCCUUUGCAGCUGCCACAACACCCAACACCCAACCUUCAGACAGUAGAUAUGUCUGGCAACAACAUACAUGGUCAAGUUGCAAGAAACAUAUGUUCGAUUUUUCCACGUUUGAAGAACUUCAUGAUGGCUAACAACAGCCUCACAGGUUGUAUUCCUCCUUGUUUUGGGAAUAUGAGCUCUCUCGAAUACUUGGAUCUUUCCAACAAUCACAUGUCUUGUGAACUGCUUGAGCAUAAUUUUCCAACAGUAGGCUCCUCGUUGUGGUUUUUGAAGCUGUCCAACAACAGCUUCAAUGGGCGAUUACCACCAUCUUUGUUCAACAUGACUUACCUACUACCUCCUUCUAGAUGGAAACAAAUUUGUAGGAGAAGUACCAGGUACUUUUUCUCUUGAAUCAUCACUUUUGUGGUUGGAUAUCAGUAACAAUCUUUUGUCAGGCAUGCUUCCAAGGGGAAUAGGGAACUCUUCAAAAAACCAACUUGAUGGAAUUGAUUUGUCCAGAAAUCAUUUUGAAGGUACCAUUCCAAUAGAAUAUUUCAAUUCUUCUGGGCUUGAAUUUUUAGAUCUUUCUGAAAACAAUCUGUCUGGGUCAUUACCGUUGGGCUUCCAUGCAUUAGAUUUAUGCUAUGUCCACCUAUACGGAAAUAGAUUGAGCGGUCCACUGCCAUAUGAUUUUUAUAAUCUCUCUUCGUUGGUGACAUUAGAUCUCGGCGAUAACAACUUAACUGGGCCCAUUCCAAAUUGGAUUGAUAGCCUUUCGGAAUUGAGCAUUUUUGUUCUCAAAUCUAAUCAAUUCAAUGGGAAACUUCCUCAUCAGUUAUGCUUGUUAAGGAAAUUAAGCAUAUUGGAUCUUUCAGAAAAUAAUUUUUCUGGUCUGUUACCCUCAUGUUUGAGCAAUUUAAAUUUUACGGCAUCAGAUGAAAAAACUUUGGAUCCUCGUACGGGAUAGGAUUCUGAAAGCGGAUUUUUAAAAUUUGCAUCCAUAGGGGGAAGAGGAUUUUCUCUUCAUCACAAUAUUUUGUGGGCAGCGAUCAGUGUAAAAAUAUCUAUAGAGCUUACAGCAAAGAAACGUUUCUACACUUACGAAGGCGAUAUCCUUCGUUACAUGUCUGUUAUGGAUCUUUCUUGUAACAGAUUCACUGGAGAAAUCCCGACAAAAUGGGGAAACUUAAGUGGGAUAUAUUCUCUAAAUCUGUCACAAAAUAAUCUCACUGGAUUGAUCCCUUCAUCUUCUCAAUCUGAAGCAGAUAGAGAGCUUGGAUCUUUCUCACAACAAAACUUGAAUGGGAGAAUUCCUGCACAACUCGUUGAACUGACCUUUCUAGAAGUUUUCAACGUGUCGUACAAUAAUUUGUCAGGAAGAACACCGGAGAUGAAAAAUCAAUUUGUACCUUUGAUGAGAGCAGUUAUAAAGGGAAUCCUCUUCUUUGUGGACCUCCAUUGCAAAACAGUUGCGACAAAACAGAAUCACCAUCAGCGAGAGUGCCUAACGAUUUCAAUGGAGAUGAUGGCUUCAUAGACAUGGACAGUUUCUAUGCCAGCUUUGGUGUGUUUACAUAACUGUGGUGUUGACAAUUGCAGCAGUACUGUGCAUAAAUCCGCAUUGGCGACGCAGGUGGUUUUACUUCAUUGAAGAAUGCAUUGACACUUGCUACUGCUUUUGGCUAUAAACUUUCGCAAGUUGUCCAGAUUCAGAAGGUGAUUGGUCUUAUCAUGAGCGUGUGGGCUGCUUUCUGAAUUUUUUGUAAUCCUCUGUGGAGAAGAAGUUGCAUUCCAAAUCAAUGGUUGCUCACUACAUGUUUAGCAAUUUUCCUGUGAGAAGUGUUCUGUCGAAGUGUUUGGUUCUUGUUGCUUAGCCUUUAUGUUUUGACAUGACUUGUGUUUGUCCUUGUGCUUGUAUCCAUAUUUGUUUGUUUCGUUGUUAUGUCUUUAUUAUGUUGCGUUUUGGUCUUAGAUAAGCAACCAACCAAUAUUUCUUGGUUUCUUGUGAUUUCUAUAUCCCUAAUAAUAUGGAAUUUAUUCACAAUUGUAAUAGUUUACAGUAUCAUAUUUUCUCAAUUAAAAAAAUAAUUGAUAGAACUAAAGGAUCAUACCAGCAAGGUGGAAUGUGGUAAAGCAAUAAUUUUGUUUGCUGAAAGAACAUAAGUCUAAACUUAAAACAAGGAAAUAUUUAUUGAAUAAUCAGUAUUUAUCUAUUUUGGCAAUUUUCUCAGCCCUAGCUAUUUAAGCCUUACUUGUGGGCUAUUUUGAACAUCAAGAGUUUAUUUCAGAUUUUUCUCUCCUGUUGGGUCUCUUUCAAGCCCGUUUUGCACUUAAUUUUGAAUUCUUUUAAUUAAAUCGGUUUUAAACUCUUAUAUCAACAAUUGGAGGAUUGUUUUAAGAUUAGAUUAUUUAAUUGUAAUUUUUCUGAAAAAUACAAGAGUUUUUUUUCUUUAUUCGUCUAUAAUGUCAAGGCUAUAAGAGAACCCUAAUUCAUUCAUGCCUCAUGAAAUUCAAUUUGGCCAGUGGUGGUAUAAGGAAACAAAAAGGUUGUUAGAAAAAUUAAGAAUUUUGAAUGUUUCAUUUUAAAAUGGUGACUACUUUUUAAUUUCAGAAUUCCAGAUUGUUAAAUCUUCUAUUACUUGUUUGCCUCUUAUGAUUUCUACUGUUGUGAUAGUCAAGCUUGAUGAUAUAAAUUACCUAUUCCAGUCUUAUACUUGGCUCCUCCAAGCAUGCAAUUGAAGGAGAAUAUAAAGAUAUCAAAGGCUCUAGUCCUGCCACAUAUCAAAAGAUUAGAGAAUAAAAUAGUUAGAAUGUUGUUAGUAACUGUUAGCCUUAUUUGUUAGUUAAGAGAAUCAGUUAGUAUUAUUUAGUGAAGAAUAGAUAACGUGAAAGGAAAACAGACAAGAAAAACAAAAAGGAACAGCAAAGAAAAGAAAAGGAAAAACAGCAAACGAAAAAAACAAAGAAGGAGAGAAGAAAAGUAGUCUUUCUCUCUCUAUUUAUCUUUCUAUUAGUUGCAUCACCAUCGCCAUUCUUCCUCCUCACCGCCACCAACAUCACCAUAAGCCAUCGUAGGUCCGCUUCCCCCUCUCUUUCUUCUUCUUCUCCCCCACCCCGAUCUUCAUUGUUCUACUAAUGAAUAGUGAAGGGUGAAUUAUAAUUCACGCUCCACGUGGAGAGCCAUUAUUUCUAGGUCGGACCAAUACCUGCCUAGACCAAAACAUUAGGGUCGGGUCCAACUUAAUUCCCCUUAGUAUAGAGUACAUUGGGCUGAAAUUGGCCCCACUCCUAAUUCGGGCCGAUAUUGGCCCAACUCUACUAGGCUAAUCUCAGCCCAAUCGCUUUUUAGGUCAACUUUGUGCUAAUUCCUUUUAAAUCAAACUCGGCCUAACUAGGGUGGGCUCAGCCCACAUAACUGGGCUAAGCCCAUCCUAAUAUAUUUUAAUAUAUAAUUAUAAUUAUAAUUAUAUAUAAAAAACAACAAAAAAAAUCCAAAAAUCCUUUUAAAAAAAUUUGUGAUUUUCUCAUGUAUUUUUCUACCAUUUUGUAUUAAUAUAGGUUUAUAUUUUUAUACUAUAAAGAUACAAAUCCAAUAUUAAAAUAUCUAGUUUUCUCUGAAAUAUUGCAAAAAUAUAUAUAUAGAGAAAAAAAAAUAUCUUGUUUUCAUGCAUACAGUUAAGUCUCUUAAGCUUAUAAGAAAUUUUCAUAUCAUAUUUUCAUACAACAAAAAAUUCAAAAAAUAUGUAUUAACAUGCACUUUGAAUUUUAAAAAUCAGUUUAUUAAAGUCAUGAGAACUAGACCAAUAUUUUAAAAAUACCAAAAAACAUUAUUUUGUUUUCUUUUAAUAUUUGAGAUUUUAAACAUAUACGUAAGACAUAUUCUUAAAAUUAAAUAAAAAGUAGUUUUUUUUUUUUUUUUACGUUAGAAUAGUUAGGUUUUAUCUGAUAAGAUAAUGAUCUCCUUAUUGAAAAGGAUUUUUCUUAAACCUUUGACAGACCAACAAUUAGAAAGCACAACAACACCUUAGUAUACAUUAAACAAUAAGCAAUGCAGCUUACCUUAGAUAGAGUGUAUUAGGGGUGAUAAUAUCUUUAUUUUAAGCAACCAGUCCUCGUGUUCGAUCUCUGAAACCAGUUAUUGUUAAUAGUGACAAAAAUACCAAAUGGUGAUUUUCAUUCCCUCUCUCCACUAAUAAAAGAUAAAAAAUCAUUUUCUACCCCAUUUCCCGAUACCACCCAAGAGCACAAUCACGGGCGACACUUUGGAUAGGUUGAUUAACUUGUUGCUUAUUUAUCACGCUAUGUCAUGUAGCUUUUAGUUAUUAUUUUGAAUUCUAAAAUAUAAAGACAGACUUUUUGUAGACAUGGUUUUAGAGUUGAAUUUUCCAGCGUUGACUUUUUAUUUUACGUCUCUCUCUCUCUCUCUCUCUCUCUCUCUCUCUCAUACUUGUCACUUAUGUCCUAAAUUGUUAACCAAACACAAUCUACUAUCAAAUUUAAUAGUUUUACUGAUUAAUUUUUUUUUCAGUAUUUACACUUAUAAUUUGUCGGUGUGUAUAUUACCAAUGGGCUAAUGGAUGGAAACAAUCUGUCAGAAAAAAUCUCAUUUGUAAUUUAUUGUUUGUCAAUAAUAAAUAUAUUGAUGAAUUUACAGACGACAAAAACACGUAAAAAAAAUUAUUCACUACAUUCUGUUGAUAUCUUUAUCGGUAAAUUUAACAUAUCAUCGACAGGAAAAUCGUAUGUAAUGUCAUCAGUGUUUAUAUUUAUCCAUCGAUAAAUAUAACAUAUCACCAACAGAAUACCAUCUGUAAUUCUAUCAGUGAGUUAACCGUCGAAGUGAUAUUUGCAGUAAUUAUUUUCCAACUCUCUCUAAAUAUACAGACGGAGUUGUUCCUUCAGUAACCCCGUCAGUGGUAUUUAAUAUAUAUAUAUAUAUAUAUAUAACUAGAAAAAUAUUUAAAAUAAUAUAAAAAUCAAAUAUGUAUUACAAAUUUAAAUAUUUGUACGUUCAAAUACAAUAAAUCUAAAAUAGAGGCAGUAUUGGAGGAGAAGGAGGCUAGUUGUUGUCGGGAUCGUGAGGCAAAUUAGAAGGUGUGCAUGUACCACCUAUCUGUGAUAUCAUCUUCAUUACCAAUAAAAGAAGUUCUUUAUAAUUAGCAAUGAGUCAUUCAUAUUUUUUUAUUAAGAUGAGUUAUUUGAGCAUAUAUUCGUUGGUAUAACAUCACAACGAGCUUGAGAGUUUGAGUGGUCAGAAUUGAAUGUGAGCAUCCAACGAUCAAAACAUUAUGGGUCGUCUACAAGUUAUUAGUCGUAAUGUUAAAAAGUUCAUACACCUAAUUUAUAUCGGAUCCACCAAACAAUCCUGCUUAUAACCACAAAUCCAGAUCAAGAUUUGGAUGGGUCGAAGGAUCAUCCUUGUAUCUCUUCUUCAACUAACUGUUAUACGUAUUCUGGAAAGAAAAAAAAAAUUCAUCAAAUUCAAGGAAAUAUUAAAAAUAAGUUUGAGUUAAACCAAUAUUUUGUUGUUUAUUUAGUUUACAUAAUUAAUUAAUACAUGUUGUCAUCAAUAUUCUAUAUAGGUUUGACAUAAGUAAUGGAUGAUUAUUUAUGGAUGUAUCAAGAUUCACCGAAACGGUUGCGUAGGAUGGAUUGUUGUAAUAAAGUUCAGGGUUUUAUUAAUUAUGCACUAUUUAAUUCGAGAAAUAUUAAUGAAAGCAAUAUUAGAUGUCCAUGUAUGAGAUGUAAAAAUGAAAAGUUUCUUGAUUCAGAUAUUGUAACGAUGCAUCUUCUACAAAAAAGGUUCGUGAAGAGAUAUUUGUGUUGGUUUGCAUACAAAGAACCAUAUGUUCCUCAUGAGACCAUUAUAGAAAGAAUGAUUGGGUCAACUUAUAGUUCUAGCAACGUGCAUGAAAUUAUAUAUAACAAUAGUAAUCCUUAUAGGACUUUGGUUAAAGAUACGAUGAAAAUAAAUCAGGGUUAUGCUAGUAAAUGUUCAAUCAUAAAUGAAGAACAUAACACAAACACGACCAGUUUUUUUUUUUUUUAUCUUUUGAAAGACUUUGACGAUACUUUGGGAUUUAAAGAAAUUGACAAACUCAUCAGCCUAGGAUACCAUAAAAUUGACAUGUGUCCAAACUUUUACAUAUUGUAUUACCUUGAAAAUGUAGAGUUGAUCAAGUGCAAAACAUGUGGGCAUGCUCAUUAUAAAUCUAGAACUGGUAGGGAAGGACUUUUAUCGCACAUAGAAAACUUAGAUACUUCUUAAUCACACCUAGACUACAAGGGUUAUUCAUGUCACCAAAAAUUAUUGAGCACAUGACAUGGUAUCAUUCACAUGAUGCAGUGGAUGAAGUAAUAGUGCAUCAUUCUGAUGGUGAAGCCUGAAAACAUUUUAAUAUGGUGCAUCUUUAGUUUUCAAUGGAAUAAAUGAACGUGCUUCUUGGGUUAUGUACAAAUGGAUUCAAUCCAUUCAAAUCAUUUGCUACUUCUUCUUUUUUUAAUCAAAUGUAAGAAUAUAUUGAGAUCAAAGGAACAAAGCCACAAAAAUAGGAAAACACAAAAUAUAUAUACAGUGAUGAGGGUAACCAAUACCCUGAACUAAAAUGGGAACAUGCUCCCAUUGAAAAGAACAUAAAAUAAACAACUCCAAGGCUAGAAGUAGCCACACAGAAGACAAAAAAAAAGAGUGGUAAAAUUGAGCAUAACCAGCCAAUCCGAUGUACUGCCAGCCAAGCCAACUUACUGCCACCCAAGCCAAGACAAGCUGCCGAAAGCCAAUAGAACAUCCAGCUGCUCCUUUUCCAUGCAGGACCAAGGCGGCAACAUAUACCCCACAACCAAAACAGCAUCACAGCAGCCCUUAUUCCAUCCAUGAGCCUUAUCAUGCAGGGACGUGAAAAGCCAUGGCCAAUAGCAGCCUCCUAGAAAAACAGCCAAGACAACUUUAAAAAUCCAUACAUUAAAUAAUCAAUGCAGGUCGAGGAUCCAAGCAAUCAUUUGCUACUUCUUAUUUUUAUUGGUUGGUGAUACUCCUGGUUUACAAUUUUCCAUUGGGGAUGUGUAUGAGGUCGGAGUUCAUAUUUUUAUCUAUAUCAUAUUUGAUCCUAAUAAUCUGUGUCGGAAUAUAGAUGUUUGUCUUCGUCCACUUAUUAAUGAGUUGAACUAGUUGUGGUCGUUCAGGGCUUUGAUAUAUAAUGUAUUGAGAAAACAAAAUUUUUAGACAAAGGCACUUUCUUGUGGAGAAUCAAUGAUUUUUCUAUGUAUGGAAUGGUUUCUGGUUAAAACACAUGAAAAACUACAUGUCCAUAUUGUAUGGAAAAUAAUAAGGACCUUCAUGUUAACAAAUAGUGGUGAUUUUGAUGUUUUUAAGCUAAGAAAAAAUGUCUAAAAAUUGUUUAGGUUACUGAAGAAAUUGAUCAAACUUUCUUUAUGGGCUGACAAAAAAUAAUUCUUUAUAGGUCAAAGAUUUAUUUUAUAAUAAACUCAAUUCCAAAUCUAUAAUAGGUUAGCGAGUUUGGAGCCUAUGCCCAAGUAAAGUUAAGCACGCGUGUGGGAUAGAGGAUUUUGGGUUUCGUAAAAACAUUUAAACUAAGAGGUUUUUUAAAUUAAUUUUUUAUUUAUUCACAAUUUAAUUACUUUAAUCAUAUUAAUGUUUCAUGUUAAUAAACAUUUAAUAAUUUCCAACAAAGUUUUUACUCCAAAAGUGAAUGAAUUUCAUUUUAAAUUUAGCCCCAAAUGUAUCAAUUGAACAUGUUUUAUUAAAACAAUUCCUACACUAUCAUCCUUAAACUACUAGUUAUGAUGAAAACAUUGGAUUAUCAUUACAUAGCCGUGUGCUUACCACUACUAAAACAUGUGCUGAUUAUGAUUAUAUCUCAACACAAUACUUUUAUCAUAAAAAAAAAAAAACAGAGAAGAAUAUUGUGUCAUUUCUGUUGUAACCCAUUUUUGGGUCCCCAUGAAAAAUAAAAUAAAUAGCCAAAAGAGUUUAGAAAAAAUAGCAGGAGGCAGAAACGCUCAGAAAACAGUCAGAAAAUUGGUCAAGGAAUUUAAAAAUACAAGGAUUGAAUUUUUAACAAUAUAUUCUUGAAGGAUGAAAGCCCUAUUGAGAAGGAAAAUUUGAAUUUUGAGGAGAAAAGCCCAAAUUUGGAUGUUUAUGGAUUUAAUUGGAUUUUGUUUUUGAAUUUAUAGAAGAUUUGAUUACAAGAAAAAUUGAUUUUUAAGUCAAUUUGGGCUUUAAUUAGAAGAAAUUUAAGUUCUGGGGCCAAAAUAUAUUUUUUAGGAAUUUAUUGGGUCAAAUCAGGGGCUUAAUUGCAUAAAUAUUGAAGUUUAAUGGCCAAUUAGGGGCUUAAUUGUGAAAAUCCGAAACCAGGGACCAAUUUGGAGAAGGCGCAAAGAUAGAGGGGGCUGUUUGGAUUUGAUUCAGGGGCUUAAUUGAAGAAAUUGGAAGUUUAUUGGUCAAUUAGGGGUUUAAUUGUAAAAUUAGAGGCCAAGGACAAAGUGGAAAAACGCGGCCAACUAUGGGGUAGGGACCGAAUUGGCAGGGACGAAUUGAGUUAAACAAAGAUGAUUAAGGACUGAUUCAAAAAAUGUUCUGGCGCCUUUUCUUUUAAAAUGAAACGGCGCGUUUUAUCCAAAACGACGCCGUUUCAUGCAUAAUAAAAAAAAAAAAAAAAAGAGACCGAACGGUGCCGUUUUGAACGGCACUGUUCACUUUCUUCUUCCCCCGAACAUUACAGCGGGGAAGAAGGAAAAGUUUGUAUUUUUUUUUAUGUUUUGCAGGUCCCUCUUGCCACCAACCGACCGAGGCCCCACGCCGGUGGCCCACCGACAGAAGACGCUGGCCGACCACCCGCCGCGCUGCCGAAGCCGAGGGAGGCCCGCCUGGAUAGCCGCUCCCCGACAGCCGCUCCUCGACCCGCUCCUUGGCUCCACGGUGAAGCCACGCCUGUUAGUUCUAUAAAUAGAGAACCGAAGGAACCCGAGAGGACGACGAAAAAAAAAACAGAAGAGGAACCCGAAGAGAACAAGAAAAAACGAAGAGAGAGAGAAGGAGAGAGAAACCACAGAACUUAAGAAACAGCCACCGAAAACCUAAAACUGAGAAGCUUGGGAAAAUUUGAAGCCGAUAGGAAUCUCAGGAAACCGAAGCAGAAGCAACAAACCGGGUGAGCGACGACGAACCGUGGGAAAAAGCUGUAGCGCCGCCUGACUCGCCGUCCGUAAGCCACGACGCUGCCACCGCCUCCACCGCAGCACCGCCAGCAAGCCACCGUCUCCACCGCACCAGGUACGCUUCCUUUCCCCCCUUGCAUUUUUUUUUUAAAAAACCUGCAUCAGUUUUGCCUCCUGCAUGCAGAAUCAUGCUGCAUGCAGGAGGCGGGGGGGAAAAUAAUCCCCCCCCGUUUUGUUUUAUUUUUUAGUUCUCUGGGCCAGAUGGUGUCUGGCCCAGAACUAUGUGGGACGGGCCAGAGGGACCUGGCCCGAUCCGGCGGUCUGGGCCGGACAAGGUUAUUUAGUUUUUGGGCUGAGAUCGGCCCAGUACCGGUUGGGCUGAGAUCGGCCCAGUACCUGUUGGGCCAAGUUCGGCCCAACGCCUUUUAGGGUUGGGUCCGGCCCAGUUUAGUUGGGUCGGCCCAGCCCACUUAAUAUAUAUUUAUUAUAUUAUUAUAUUUUAUUAUUAUAUUAUAUUAUGCAUGUAUAUAUAUAAAAAAAAAAAAUCCGAAAAGUUUUUUUUUAAAAUAUAUUGUUGUUUCCUUUUCAUAUAUAUAUUUUUUAUAUACAUUGGUUUGUAUUUUUAUAUUGUGGAGACACAAACUCAGUGUUUAAAAUACCCGGUUUUCGUCAAAACAUCCAGAGUUUCAAAGAUAAAAAUGUCCGUUUGCUUUCAAAAAUUCUAAAAAAUAUCCUUAAGAAUAUUGUGGAUUUUCCUGCACAUUUUUUUUAUGAUUUUUAUAUUGGUUUGUAUUUUUAUACCGUGGAGAUACAAAUUCAGUUUUUUUAAAUACCCGUUUUCGUCGAAAAAAAUAUAUUUACAAAAAAAAAUGUUUUCUUGCGUGUUGCAUACGGCCAAUACUCUAACAUGUUUUGAUUUCUUUUUUUUUAAAAAAAAAAAUAUUUUGGAAGCUUCGAAAGUGUGUUUUCGCAUAGAUUUCUUAAACACAAAUUAUUUUCUUGCAUUUUUGGAUUUUACAACAUGUUUGUAAAACUCCAAAGGGUAUUGGCCAAUAUUCCAAAAAAACUAUAAAAAUCUUUUUGGGGGAAGAAAAUUUAUUUAUUAUUCACCGCUAAUGUUUGGAUAAAGAAAUCCUUAAAAGGAUGAAUAUCCAAAAUAUUAUUGGGAGUAAUAAAUCCGUACACAUUCUUGAAAGAAGCCUUGAUUAUAAUCGAGGACAUUUCAAAAUUUUAAUUUUUUUUUCCCACGAUUUAUGAGUCCCAAACUCUUGAAAUACUAAAGGGAAAAAUGAGCUUUCAAAGCACAUGGAAUCUCCUUAGAUUUCUAUCCAAAAUCAAUUGACGAGCCUAGAAAAUACCAACACCAUAGCAAUUAUAGAGCAAACGAAACACCAAGCAGCUUACCUUAGGUAGGGCGUACUAGGGGUGCUAAUACCUUCCCUUUACGCAACCAGUCCCUUGCCUUAGAAUCUCUGAAAGACCAGUUAGGGUUCCUAGUGACCAAAAUACUAGGUGGCGACUCCAAAGAACCAAAUCCGCUAAACAGAACAAAAUGAAAGUCGCCAGUCGAAUGUCGCAAAAAACAAAUUUUUUUUUUAUUUUUAGGAUUUUUUGGGGUGCGACAAUUUCUAUCAUCCAACUUGUGAAUAUGAUGAUAGCGUAUAGUAAAAUACUUCUAUUGGCCUGGAAGUUUCCCGGAUCUCUCUGGCAGAUGAACGUGGAUGAGGUUUUUUUUUUUUUUUUUUUUUGUGAUGCAAAUCAUGAGAUCAACAGCUUCUUCUUUUUUGUUUUUUUUUUUUUUCUAGCCAUCUGAAAAACUGUAGUAAUUUUGUUAAAUAUGAGGUGUGAUAGAAAAUUUAACAAGCCCUAACUUUCAGGGAGAGAAAUCUGCUCAUCAGUUUAGCUCACAGACUCGUAACUGGUGAUGACUUGACCGGCUAAGCAAGGUUUUUUUUAAUAAAAAAAAACAUAAUAAAAUUUAUAUUUCAUUUACAAUAAGACUCCUUCAACCGCAAAAGCACAUAUGAAAAUAUGAAUUUUAAUAAAAUAGCAGCGUUUGUUGCUGCGUUUGCACCUGUGUUUUGCUCAAAUUUGAUUUAUUUUUUUUUGUAAAAUUGAGUUUGAUUUGUAUUUUUUGGAUCGUUUUGAUGUGCUAAUAUCAAAAAUGAUUUUUAAAAAAUAAAAAAAUAUUAUUGGCAUGUAUUUCAGCACAAAAAACUAUUUAAAAAACAACUGCUACUACACUAUCAAACACGCUCAGUCUUAUGUCUAGAUUUGUCUGUAGAUUUUGCGAAAAACAGAGGAAAACAGGGCAUUUCUAGUUCUGAUCAUGACUUUUAUCUAACAAAACCAUGAUUGAAUUGUUAGAUAGAGCGCAGAUUAACAUAGAUCGAGGCAAACCAAUGGAUUCAACAGCCCGAUGACGAGUGCCAUGCAUGAUCAAUUAAGACCACAGUUGCAUCAUCAUGGCACCUACCUGCUGGAGAUUUAGCCAACAAACAGGGGUUAGUGGGCAUGGGAGUAGAUGGACGUUGACAAGGACAUAAAUACUCUGUCAAAUAUGCGAGCUUCCACGUUGAGGUGGUUGGGGUCUUUCUUGAGACAUGAUUGCUGGGGUCGAGAACUGUAGAACAAUUUCCCUUUAUAAAAUAUAGUUAUCAGAACUGGCUCGAGUUCUGAUCAUAAUAAAAAGCUAAGAUGAACUGAGUCAAUUCUAAAAUUACAUUAAAAAAAAUCUCAAGAAGUUCAUAGAUACUGGGAUUAGAAAAUCUUUCAUGAUUUUCCCAAUUUAGGGUUCUCUAAUACUGGGUUUAAUUAUGAAUUAGUGUAUUGAUGAGCAUUUAUUUAUUUUUGGUUCUAUAUGGUUUAUUCUCUUUUUGAUUGAAUUUUUUAACAAUCAUUUAUAUAUAGAUUGCUUUGUUCACCAAAAAAAAAUAAAAAAUAUAUUAACUUUUUUAGUUUUGAUUUUUUCCGGUUUUAAUCAAAUAAAAAAUUAUUUUUACCAUCUUUAAUUUAAAAACCGUUUGUUUAAUUUCAAAUAAAAAAUAAUCAAAAUAAUGCUUUUAAUUUUAAAUCAUAGUUUAAAUAUAAUAUUGACUGCAUAGACAAACAUAAUCUUACACUAACAAAUAAUUAUAUAAAAAACAUCGUGAUAUUUAUAACAUGAUUUUCAAUAAUUAUAUUGAAAUAUUAUUAGUAUUCUCACUUGCAUGUUUUAACUAUAAGGUAAUUUGGAUAAUAUUAACAAGAAUGGGGAUUUUAACUUAAUCUCAACCAUAUAUCGAUAUAUAUAAAUUAAUUGAUCUGAAAAUAUCAAAAGAUAGAUGGAAGCAAACAGACGUAACACUUUUCCCCCGCAUGCAUGAUUGAGACGAUAGGGCGAAAUAAACGGAAUCAGCCUGGGAAAAAUACAAGGAUGAAAAUGAAAACAAAGUAAAAGAAAAGGGGUUACAAAUAAAGUAAGGAAACGUUUUAGCAGGGUCUAAUUGAAAGAACAAUUUUCCAAAAAGUGAAUCACCUUUGGGAAAAAAAAGAGGUUUUCGGCUGUGAUUGAGGAUUCAUAGGAUUUUUCCACCCUGUAGGGCCCAGUGGGAUUUUUUACUAAAUCCUUUUGACUAAUGAAAUUGAGUAAUUUUCCACUAAGAGACAAAAAUGCUUGUAUCGAUUUGAAAUUUUGCGUCGGAGGGAAAGCACAGAAGGGAACAAGAUUUGAAUUUUGAUCCAUAAGAAGAAAACAAAUUUCUUCAUUUCAAUGGCUGCCAGCUUCGCAAUAGAGUGGCGGGAAAAUCUGAUCUAGCUUUCUUGACAAAUACUACAAGUCAAUCAGAGAAAUAUUUGAUUAUGAAAUGGGAUAAUAGAGAUUUGGUGCAUCUUAUGGUAACUGAGAUUUGAAUAUUAGGAAAAAGAGUAGAUAUCUAAAUAUUAGUUUGGGACUGGUAGUUGGAGUAUGAUAUCGAUCUUGCUGUAUUUUAAAUGUAUUUAAAUUCUCAUUAGGAAAAAAAAAAAAAAAGAGUUAAUAGUGACAGGGUAAAUUAAAGAUGUGUUAAAACAAGAAAAAUAUCCUGUUUCAAAUUGUAUUUUUUAACUACAAAUAUCAUUUUAAUUGUUAUUCAUUUAAAUUCUAGUUUGAAACACAACAUAUCAUAUAAAUAAACAAGUGAAGUCUUAAUCUAUAAACAACGUGUAUUAAUUGUUAUCAUAGAAAAUCUGUUAGAUACAAACUAUGAAUUAAAAUUUAAUAAUUAUAAUUUUUUUUUAAAAAAAAAUCAAUUUAUAAUGCUUUUAUAGGCUUAACUAACUCAUUUAAUUAUUUUAAUAAUAUGAUGUUGCUACUUAAGUUUACAUUAUCAAUCACUUUUGUUGAUAUUAUUAUCAUUAUUUCUAUUAAUAUCAUCAUUAUUAUUAAUUAUUAUCUCAACCAUCAUCAUUACAGAUAUUAUAUUUUUAUAUUAUUACUUUUUAAAUAACAUAAAAUUUGUUUUGUAAUAAUAUAUCUUAUGAAAAAAUAUUUUAUAAGUACAAUAUUUUAUGGCAAUCAAAUGCCUUCUCGCUUAUUAAGGAUUUGCUGACGUGGUUGAUAGUUUUUUUUUUCAAACUUAUUAUAUCAUUGAUAUAUAAUUUGAAAUAUCCGCAUCAUGACAUCAAUGAGCAGUUGCUUGGUGAUUAAGGGGAGCUAUAAAAUCAUGUCCAAAAUUGCUGGCAACCCACAUUAAAGUCAAGAAUUUGCUAAACGACGAGCUGGCCUUUAAAAUCUCUCCCUGUGUUUUCUUUAUUCAUUUAUUAGUGACAAAGAAACCAAAUUCUCCCUUACACGUUCAGUUUUUAUUUCAUAAUUUUAAGGGUUUUAGAAGUGUGAUGAUGAUUAUUUUUUAAAGUAUGUUUUAUUUAAAGAUAUAUUAAAAUAAUUUUAUUAUUAUUUAAAAAAUAUUUUUGUCACCAGCAUAUUAAAAUGAUAAAAAAAAUAUUUUUAUACAAAUAAAAUUAAUUCUUUAUGAAAUAUUAUUUAGAACUCAAUUUCAGUUUAAUUUGAUGAGUUGAUUUAAAAUCCAAUUAGAGUAGAGUUUGUAAUUAGAACGACCAAAAUUUUAACCUGAUAAGACUAGUGGUUUUGAUUAAUACUAAAUUAGAUAAUAAUAAUAAAAUACUUCGAAUGAAAUUAUUUAAAGUGGAAUUCAAUUUAGUUUUAAUAAUAUACUACAUAUUAAUUAAAAAACUUGGAACUUUUUUUAUUAAUUAAAAAGCCUAGCCUACUUACAAAUAUCAACAUAAAUAGUUCUAUUUAGUUUUAAUAUAUAUAUAUAUAUAUAUAUAUAUAUAUAAGCAGUAGGAAGUUGAAUUUGUUUUAUUAAUUAAUUCACCUGGUGGUGUAUUCAGUCAAGAGUGAAAGAUGAUAGGUUAUUUACAAGUCAAAAUCUUUAAAAAUUAAAAAACAUAAUAACUGAAAAAAGAUACAUAAAAUAUUUAAUAUUUAAUUAUUUAAGUCUCACUUAUCAAAAAAAUCAAUUAAACCUUUUAUAUAUAAAAAAACUGAAUAACCCUAUUAAUACUAAAUAGAAAAAUUAUUCCCUUUAAAUAUAAAAACUAGAAAAGCUUAAUGAUACUAAAUAGAAAAACAAAACUCAUAAACUAAAAAUAAAUAAAAAUUAUUGAGCAAAAAUAUUUAUUUUCCCAAAAAAACUUCUACAUUAAUUUUUAUAAAUCAGAAGAAACUCGUUCCGAGUUCAAAUUAUUCAUGGAGUUGAACCCUCUUGGUUGAAAAACAUCUCUUCUACCAUUAAAUUAUAUAAUGAAAUAUUCUUUCAGCAAAACCUCCUCAAUUAAAAACCAAUAAUCAUUUUAUGUGUGUUACCUCAUUACAAGUUCUUAACAUCUUUAUAAGAGUUGUUGUAUUAUAGAUCUGAAACAUAUUUAAAAGUUUAAAAUUAGUUUUAAUAUUAAUACAUCAAAACAAUUUGAAAAUAUAUUUUUUUUAAUUUUAAACAAAAAAAUAAAAUUUUAAAUUUUGAAAACAUGAUAUGCAUCAAGUUUCAAACCUAAGAAUAGUUAGAACUAGUUAUAUGACCCGCGCAAUGCCACGAGUCAAUUUGUUUUGCAUAAAAAAAUAUGAAAAAAAAAGUUAAGAUAUAAAAGUGUUAGGUUUUUUGCAAAGUUAUACUCAGGAGCCGUGAGUUUGACUGCAACGCCUAACUCAAGAGUAAUAUUUAUAAUAUUAAUAAUAAUAUCAAACUUGUAUGACCCAAGUUUAAGUGAGUUUUACUGCAAUACCAAAACCAAUAGUCUUGGAUGUGGAUGUGGCUGCAAAGUCGUGUCAUAAAAGUGUGAUAAUAAAAUAAAUUGAUUAAAAAAAAACCAACAGGAAGAAAAAAACUAAUAAAAAAAAGAAAAAAAAUCUGAAUUAACUGGGUUAACCCAUCAAACCAAGUUAACCCUUCAAACCUGGAAUCCGUGUCAUGAAAGUCUGAUAAUUAAACAGAAAAAAUUUAAUAUUAAGAAACUAAAUUAAAAAAAUAAUUAAAAAACAAAGAAAAAAGACAAAAAAAAAAACUAAAGGCAUUAACUUUUUCACUGUGAAUUGCACUAUGAAAUCCAUAGUAAAAGACUUAAAAAGAAAAGGAUAAGGAAAAAAACACAAAGGCAUACGCCACGGGUUAAUUUUUUUUUUCUUGCAUAAGAAAUAUGAAAAAAAAACUAAGAUUUAAGAGUGUUAGGUCUUUCUACAAAAACAUACCUAUGAGCCUUAGGUCUAGCUGCAACGUUUGACCCAAGAGUAAUAUUUAUAAUAUUAAUAAUAAUAUUAAACUUACAUGAAUCAAGUUUAAGUGGGUCUGACUGCAACACCGGACUCAAGAGCCUUAGAUGUGAGUCUGGCUGUAAGGUCGUGUAAAAAAAAUAUGAUAAUUAAAUAGAUUAAUUAAGAAAAAACAAAUGAAGAAAAAGAAAAAAAAAUUGAAUUAAUUGGGUUAACCCUUCAAAUCAGGUUAACAUGUCAAAGUUGAGAUUCGCGUCAUGAAAUUUUGAUAACUAAAUAGAAAAAAAAAAGUUGACGGGUUAACCCAGAAUUAACUGGGUUAAUCCGUUAACACAGGUUAACUCGUCAAGCCCGAGACAUGUGUCAUGAAAGUUUGAUAAUUAAAUAGAAAGAAAUUUAACUUUAACAAACUAAACUAAAUGAAAAAAAAAAAAUUAAAAAGCAAAAAAAAAAUUGUGUUAACUCGUCAAAUCAGGUUAACCCGUCAAAUCUGGGAUAGUCUGAUAACCAAAUAAAAAAAAUUAACAUUAACAAACUAAAUUAAAUAAAAAAAUUCAUGAAAAGAAAAAAACAUAAAAAAAUUCAUAAAAACAUAAAAAAAAAAAAAUUAUUAUUUCACUGUGAAUUUUAUAGUAAAACACUGAGCAGAUUUAGUUUAUUGUUAAUACGCAGUCUGGCUGACACCUAAUGUCCUAAAUAAGAAAACCCAUUGGGUUUUACGUAUGAACAGAAAAAAAUAGAAAUGUGAACAAUUGAAGAUAAGAAAGAGGUAUUUCAAACAUUUUUUUUUUUAACAAUAAUAUAUGAAGAUCUGGUGCAUAAUUUAACUAACUGAGUCCUGGCCUCGACCAAAUACUUUGGCUUCUUCUUCCCGCAAGCUAUCCACAGAGCCAUUUCACGAAUCAUGUCAUGCAUUUUCUCAUCUCUGGCGCCUUCAUCUUCCAAUCAGCAUUAUUGAGUAAGACUGUCAUUGAUGUUGUAACCUUCAAUUCGAGCCCCUCAUACAUCUCCAUAUUCACCCAAAAAUCCCUCCCAUGGCCAACCAAUAAUCUAAUUCCGGGAAGAAAGCACAAUACAGGAAACAAUAAUUAACUUUGUUGCUGUGAAGACUAUCAUAACCAAGCUUCAGCAGAGCAAGGUCCCUAUAGGAAGUACCUGAAAAGUCUGAGGUGGCCUUACUUCUGGUAGGGAUCCUGAGACGCCACUACCCAUAUAACGAAAUCGAAAUGGAGCUGUGAGUUGAGCAAGCUGUUGCAGACUUGAGUCAAGAGAGCAGUCUUGAGAAAGAUUGACAUCCUGCAAACCCACGACAACAAUGAGAUAUAUGAGAAAGCAGUGAAAAUUUUGGAGAGAUACUGGGCUGAGGAAGAAGAUGGAGAACCAAUUGUCCAAGAUGGUGGAGAUGGAAAUCAGCAAGGUUUUGCUUUUGGAACUAACCAGCCAGCGUUCCUCAAGGUGGCUUCAAGUUUGGGCGAACGCCUCUCUAGCUUUUUGUAGAUUUUUUCACUUGCUUUGAAAUUUUCAACACUAUAUGUUCGUUGCUGCCAAGGCUCAGAAUUUUUGGUCUGGCACAUAGGGUUUCAGUAUCGAUGGAAAUUGUCAAAAAAUGUUAAAACUUUAGGACUCCACCUUGGAAUUAGUCGAGUUGAAUUGUAAAAUUGAUGUAAAGGAUCUUUGUGAUUGUCUUGAUAUGGAAUUAGACUCGUGCUAUGAUAUAUGAUGAGUUCUUAUAUAUUGAGAGCAUCAGACUUGUCCCGAAUGGCUGGUUUCUGAUGUAGCUAGAGCAAAUUUUCUGAUGUAGCCACUGAAAAUGUAGCUGUUAUGGAUUGUGCAUCAUCUUUUCAACUUACAUCUCGAAUGGAUGAGAUGUUUGAGCCUGCUGCAAUGAAUGCAAUGUGAAAAAAACUGCCGCAGCUUGGAGGCAGUAGCACUGAAAUGAUUUCCAUGUAGCUGUUACUCAUGUUUAUCAAUCCCCUCUUAUGAGGCAUAAAGGGUUGACAAGUGGAAAGCGUUGAGGCACAAACAACCAUAGUUAUCAGACAUGGUUAUGGUUUGAGUUGUGGAUUUUGUUAGAUCAAUCAUAAAAUGAAGUUGUUUUGUUAUUUAUAUAAAUAAAAAUUAAAAAAAAUUAUCAAGUCAAUUUUUAAAUCAAUUCAAAAUAAAAACCUAAUCUGAGUUCGAUUUCAAGUAUAUGAAUUAUCGAAUUAAUCUGGCCGAGCAAGUUUUCAUAACCACGUACAAAUCAAAAGCCCUUUGAUUGAAUCAACAAAAUUCGGGAGAGGAUCUAAUCUCCAUCAUUAGACAUUAUAAAGAAGGGCUAGACGCAAUAUUAAAUGGGCCAGAAAGAUCUUAUCAUCUGAAAAUAAUAAAUGAAGAUUAGAGGGUUCAUUUUUUACAAUCAAGACUAGGGCUUUAAGUUUAUAGGCCUUUGUAAAGUGUAGUAGCUCUGUCCUGCGUAGCUCAACCAUGGCAGACAGCAACGAGAAUCAGCAUGACAAAGGCAAAGAGCAAGAGCAAUAUGGUGUCCUGCUUUACUACAAAUACACAGAAAUCCCUGAUCUCAACUCCCUCCUCUCCUUCUACAAUUCCAACUGCACUUCCCUCUCCCUCCUUGGCCGUGUCCGCCUCUCUCUCCAUGGAGUCAAUGUCACUGUAAUGCGCCCAACUCAAUAACCCCAACUUUUUGCAGUUUAAAUCUCAAAAGUUUGAAUCAUUUUGGUUAUUAAAAUUUUGGGUUUCCUUUGUUUUCUUCAAUCAUAUCACAAUCUCAUUGAAAAGUUUGAAACCUUUUGCUGUUUGGGAUUUUGGGUUUAGUUAUUUGAGUCCAAAAAUUGGAAAGUUUGGAACUUUUUGCUUAUUAGAAUAUUGGGUUUCUUUUGUUUUCUUCAUUGGUUUAAGUUGGAGGCAAGUUGUCUUCAUUGGAGAAACAUAUUGAAGCUGUGAAAGCUAUUAGUUUAUUUGAAGGGACUGAUUUCAAGCUUGCUUCUUGUCAUUUCCCAUUGAAUGACAAGGUUGCUCAUGAAUGUGGCUUCACUUCUCUUUCCAUUCGCAUUGUCAAGGUAUGAAUCUUUGUUCUAUCAAACUUUGGUUUCUAUUCGUAUCAUUGUUUUGAGCUAUUUGGUAUAGUAUAAGUUUUGAUUUGAUAUGCGUUUGUGUUUGCGUUUGCUUGCUUGGUCUAACAUCUUGAUGCGUUUUGGUGUGGCUAGGAAUUGGUUACUCUUAGCCCUUAUCCUCUUGUUAAAGCACCGGAUGUUUCAAAUGCUGGUAGGCAUUUGUCCGCUGUGGAGUUCCAUUCUCUUCUUCAAAGUGCUGGUGAGUUGUGAUUUUCUUUUUGAAAUUUUAUUGCAUGCUUUACUUUUUGGUUUGCUUUCGUUUUAUAGGCUAUGUUUAUUCUUCUUUGUAGUAUUUUGUUCUCUAAAUUUGGUUUUGUUGUUUUGAUAUGUAAGAGAAUGACUAGUAAUGGUUAACUAUGUGUUGGGUGAUUCUGUUUAUGUUUCUCAGGGAAGCUUGUAGAUAAAGAAAGUCUAGUUGAUGAUAAAGGUCUUGUUUUAUUAGAUGCAAGGAAUCUGUAUGAGACGAGAAUUGGGAAGUUUGACAUGCCAAAUGUGGACACUUUGGAUCCUGGAAUCAGACAGUAUAGUGAUCUGCCAUCCUGGAUAGAUGAUAAUUCUGAACAAUUGCGAGGAAAGAAUGUCCUGAUGUAAGUGCUUGUUCCAAAAUUGACUUUUUAUUGGUGUUGACCUGAACUUCACUCUGUUUUCCAUCUGAUUUGUAAAAUCAUGUUAUCAUGGUUGAAAGUUGGUGCAGUUAUGGCUUCAAACGCCCAUUUUUCCACUCUAAUCUUAGUAUGUUUUGUUUGGGUGCUGUGUAGGUAUUGUACUGGAGGAAUCAGGUGUGAGAUGGCAUCGGCCUAUAUUAGGUCAAAAGGUGCUGGAUUUGAGAAUGUAUUUCAGGUAAGCUUGGGAUCCAGCAGAAGCUAGUGUUAUGCUUACCUUGACCAUAAGAUCCUGAGGAAGUUAGGUCCUGAUUGUUGAUCGAUGUACUGAUAUAUUUUGCAAUGCUGGCUUUGUUGCAGUUGUUUGGUGGAAUACAGCGUUAUUUAGAACAAUUUCCAGAUGGUGGUUUUUUCAAAGGAAAGAAUUUUGUUUUUGAUCACAGGUAUGAUUGCUCAGAGUAAUUGCGACCCUAUUGAUUUUAAAGUUUUUACCUUAUCCUUUGGUGAUUGCAUAACAUCAUGCUUUUAUUGAACUUUCUGGUGUUCAAUAAAAGAAAACAAGCAAAGAAAAAGAAGUGUCGAUUUGCCGAGUAAUUUUGUAUUGUGGCUGUAGGAUUUCUGUUGGGAGCUCAGAUACAAAUAUCUUGGGAACCUGCCUUCUCUGUGGCUUAUCCUUUGAUGAUUACUCUUCACGAUGUAGAUGCUCAUAUUGUAGAAUGCUAGUAUUGGUCUGUGAUAGUUGCCGGGUAAGUUUUGAUGACUAGAGUCCUUCUACCAUUGAAUGUUAAUAUUUCUGACCAUUUAAGCAUGUCUAUCAUACUUUAGCUAGCUCCAUCUUGUCCAGUGAAUAUUCUAAGAACCUUAACCAAUGCUUCUCGAUUUUUAUCUAAAGUGAAACUUAAAAUAAUAGCUUUUCAGAUUUUCAUUUUCCCUUCUAAAAACAAUCAUUGCCUAAUAUGUAUGUGUUUUGAUGAACUGUUUGUUCAGCUCCCAUGCCGCUUGUAGGUUUCUGUAUUUUGUUGGGUCUUAUUUGUUAAUUUUUGUGGGUGGGCAGAAGGAGGAAGCUGUUUAUGCUUGCGAGCUGUGCCAAAAACAUGGAAAGGUAAUUGAGUCAAAUGUUGCUGAAAAUGGUGAACAGCAAAAUAUAUUGCCUCAAGUUGAGCUCAAAACCAUUUCCUCAGAUACUAUCCUCUCGCCUCAACUUCAUGGGGAACAGGGUAAGGUCUGUCUCCUUAUCACUUGGAUUGUUUUGGUUCCGUGUUUACCAAGAUAACAUGUAGUACAAUGGUGUAUUUAUCUUGGCUAAUAGUGAACAUCUGUCUUUUUUUAUCCCUGUUACAUCUUUCAUUUUGUUUUCUUCCAAGAACUUCUCAGUCUUAAUGUAAUUGUUCAUCCAAUAAAACAGGUGCUAGACCUCCAAGAAAGCUAAGAAUCUUGUGCUUGCAUGGGUUUCGGCAGAAUGCAUCUGGUUUUAAAGGAAGAACUGCAUCAUUAGCCAAGAAACUUAAAAACAUUGCUGAGCUUGUCUUUGUUGAUGCACCUCAUGAGUUGCCUUUCAUAUACCAGCCAUGUGUCUCGGAACUAGAGUGCAGUGAUGAAUCAUCAUUUUCGUCACAACAAAUUCUCCCCCCAACAGAAACUUGCAGGGGAAAGUUUGCGUGGUUGAUAGCACCUGAUUCCAAAGGAAGGAGUGCAACUGAUUGGAAAAAGGCAGAUAGUCCAUUUGAUCCCCUCCAGUACCUGCAGCAAACUGAAGGGUUUGAUGUAUCAUUAUCGUAUUUAAAGACAGUAUUCUCUCGGGAUGGGCCAUUUGAUGGGAUCCUGGGAUUUUCUCAAGGAGCAGCGAUGGCUGCUUUACUUUGUGCACAAAAAGGGAGGCUAAAAGGUGACAUUGAUUUCAGAUUUGCAAUUUUGUGUUCUGGGUUCGCUCUUCCAUUUGUGGAGAUUGAGAGUGGAUCGAUUAACUGCCCCACUCUCCAUAUAUUCGGAUGUGUUCCAGGCAAGGACAGGCAGAUUGCAAACAAAACAAGCAGAGAACUUGCUUCAUUAUUUGAAGAUGGUUGCUCAGUAAUUAUUGAGCAUGAUUGUGGUCACAUCAUUCCUACUCGGACUCCAUACAUCGAUGAAAUCAAAGGCUUCCUUCAACGCUUUCUGUAAUGCGAUUAAAAAUCCUUUGUUAACCAAUAUGGUUACUUUAAGAUGGCUUCUCAGCUAUUACCUGAUCCGUAUUUGCUUGUUACUCAUUACACCAUUUUUCUUCAAUCACUUGCAAAUACAAUUUAAUUCCAAGAUUUAUCUUUUUAUUAAAAAUAUUUUCGAAGUCCAUUGAAGCCCCUCAACUGAGAAUUUAAGAUUUGUACAACGUACAGACGGAAAUACUUCAUAAAAAACAGAGGAGAACAGUCACUCGUCUGCCUCAUAGAAGACCAGACAACGAACACGCAAGUUCUUCAGAAUGAAAACUGAGAACCAACAAAUCCUAAAUUUAGAUUUUUUGGAAUAAAAACUUUCAGCUUGUGUUUGGAAUUCUGAAGCAUUAUGGUUCUUAUAUCUUUACUUCAGCCAAUUGAGCCAAACAACAAAGCUGAUGGUUUCUAUAUGCAUUUCUCAGGAAGAGAUUUACAGUCAUAUACAUGAAACAAACAAGUAUGAAGCUUUGCCGACCUGGUGUUAGCAUUCGGCAAAUACACACAACUAUUCGUUAUGAACUUGAAAUCUAGAUUUUCGUUAUGACCUGGUCUUGUCAAUUUUUAUUUUCAACACGAAAAAUAGAUGCAUGAGUGUUAUGAUAUAUGCUUAGCAACCUGAAUUCCUUGGUGAUGAUCGGACAGGGGCUGGGAUGAACAUAUGGACCAGGGUAGUUUGGGCCACGUACUCACCUCCAGAAACUCCAAAAAAAAACUUGUUUUACAAUCGUGAGAAUCACCUCAUUGACCCAUUAGAUCAAUGACAAGCCCGAUCACUCCAAGAAUGGGCCAAUUCAUCAUUCAAUAAACCAAGUCAAGCUCAAUUACUUCACUGGCCUAAAAUCACAUUCCAUGGAAAACCUAAUUUAGUAUGAAGUUUUUAUAACCUCAUCAGAUGGCCUCAAAUUCUAUUAUUAGCAGAAAAAAGAAACCAUCCAGGCAUUUCAUUGUUGUGGGAAUUACGUAGAUUAAUAUCAUCUGCUUCCCAUGUUGGAAUGUUAGGGUGUGUAUUUGUUAUAUAUACUUGCAUGUUGUAGCAAACAAAGCUCAUUUAUAGAUAAACAUUUCCAUUUUCCAGCUAUAAUUAUCGGAUUUGGCUUGAGAUUUGACCCAGUUUAGAGCUCGGUUUAUUAGGUUAUUGGAUUAACUCAUGGUCACUAAGUCAUUCCAUAUUACUUCUAAUUCGACACUGUUUUGAAAAUUAAAAAAAUAAAAUUCAUUCGAGUUAACUUAUGGAUCGUGAAUCAAUUAUAUAGUCAUCUAAAUUUUAACUGAAUUAAUAUUUAAAAUAUUCAAAAUAAAACCUAAUCUAGAUUGACGACAAAUUAUUGAAUCGACCAGUCGGUCGGACAGGCCGAGCAGGGAUGGAUAUAUAUGUCCAUGAUAAUUCUAACACCAGCUACGAUCGUCCAUCGAAGCAAGUGUUGUAAUCAAUCAGUGUCAGUACUGUUUCUACCCUUUUUGAGUUGCUUAAGAACUAAGAUGUUGUUGUAAAUAAUAACAGUAAAGGAUGUUAAGAGUUAGCUGAGAACCACGGAGCAUCAUUUUGAGGUCGGAGCUUCACGCCCUCACCGCCCAAGCAGCACCAUCAAAACAACCAUCUAGAUGUACAAAACUACAAAGGCUCCUGGGGAUAAUCCAAGCAUGCAACUAUUUGGGUUGGUAGCUCGUCUAUUUCUGCACAUGGAAAGAAGCUUCAGACUUGUGUUUUCUCUCUUUUCUUUCACUCACGCAAGCAACCGAUCGUGAGCAUGAAGUGUUUUGACUUUUGGGCGUAGUCUGAAUCAAUGAAAUGCUUUCCUUCUUGUGUUUUUUUUAUAUGAUGUAUUGUUGAAGUGUUCUUUAUUAGUAAAAAGAAAUAGAAAUCUCAUUACAUGCCUUGAUCGGUAAAUUCUGAAGAAAGUAGAGUGGAUUAAGUUGAGAAAACCUGCACUAAACCUGAUAUGAACUGAGUUUAAUGAUAUAUUGAUUCGAUAAAAUUAAGUUGAUAUUAAAGAAAAGUUUUUUAAAAUAAAACGAAACUGCUUUAAUAAAAAUAAAUAACCUUAAUUGAUUUUUCCUUCGGUAGGUUGUAACAAUUGAGCCAGGAGUCUACAUCCCAUCCAUUUUUUACGGUCCGGUCCAGAUAGGUACUUCCCUUCCUGCGAAAGCCAUUAGGACACGUCAUGCAAGAAGCUAGUUGCUCUGCAGCUUGCAGAUUACAUUAAUGACAUGUUUGGAAUUGUAAAUCUGAAAAAUAUAUUCAGACUCGUCGUAAUUCAUAUAGAAAAUCCUUGAAUUUUACUAAGCUUUCAGGAGCUGGGAUUAGUUCCUGAGUAGCUCCAUGCCAAAAGAAGUAGAACACACAGUCCUUGCUAAACAACCGCAGUCAUGGAAGAGUUAAGGAAGCUCAAAAUAAUCUGGAAGUUGCUUCGUGUGAUCCACUUAAAAUUGUCAUUGGGACAAGACAAUGUCUUGUUGCCCUAAUUUCUAACUCUAAAAUCGUUUUACGACACAUUGGGCUUUCGCUACAUUGAUGUGAUCGGAGCGCGGAAGCAGAGUUAUACAGAAGCUGCUUCCGGUUGACAAUUCCCUCGAACAGUUGAAGAGUCAAUACAAUUGCUCAUUGCCUCAUCUCACUCCACAGGUAUUUUCAGGCCUGUAUCCUUUUUCACGUUGGAGAGGUAGGACAACGCCAUGGUUCUCAUUCCUGAGGCCUUUUCCCUCGUUUACCUCCUCUAUUCUUGUGAAACUAUAUAUUUAAAAAUAAACUCAGGUUAAUCUAUUAAUUUAUAGGUUGAUUUAUCAACCCGCAACAAGGAUAUUAAACCGUGAACAAUUGAGUCGGGUAUACUAACUAUGGCUACAUUAUUGCCAUUUUGUUCUGGUUAAUUAAUUUUAUUAUGCAAUCUCCAAUAAAUGGCUACGGUCAUGUUCACACCAAGAAGAACUUUAUAUUGACAGAUGCUUAUCGUUUCUUUUCCCCUGAUCGAUGUGAAAGAUGAUACCAUGUUUAGUUUUUUGGGGUGGCCGUAGGAUAAUAAAACAUUCGUUCUUUUUUUUUUUUUUUUUUUUGAGAAGUAUAAUAUUGCAUUAGAAGACGCCAAUAGAUGACGGGAACAUAGAGAUUCUGUUUACAGGACACCUAAACAGAACUAUGCAAUGAAAUGAACAACAUACCAAGAAACGAAAAGAACAAAAUGCAGCUACAAUAUACAUAUUUGAAGCCAAGAAAUCAAAGAAGCAGCUAAAAGAUGCAGAUUUGGAGCCACACCAGGAAGAGAAGCCAAACAGACUUCUACCGAUAUCCAGAUUAGAAGAAAAACAAAAUCUUUCCAUCUUGCAUCUUCUUAUCCAAAACAAAAUACCAGCCAUGGACUCUUCACAGAACAACCUUUGACAACUUAACAAUAAGAGAACCAAGAUACUCGACGCAUUAACAUAGAAAAAACCAUAGCAGGCAAAAGGAAGCCCAUCAACAGAAGCCCCUAGACUUGCAACAUCAAAAUCUGAAACCAAGAAGUUUCACAAAAGACAAAGAUCUGACCAGCUGGAAUUGCUUCUGUAUAGCUAGAUGAUUCUUCUCCUUUCUAGAAAUAGAGUAAUCUGGGAAACAAUCCAGUUUCCUUAGCAUCCGUAACCAGAAUUUAAAGAAAAAAAAAGGCCCAAAUAUCAAGCAGAUUAGAGCCAAGCGACCCAUUCAGAGUUUCUAAACACCCCCUCUUUUUUGCCAUGUGAUCUGCCAUAUGAUUACUCUCAUGAAGAGAAUGAGUGAAUGUGAGUGAACCAAAACAUGAAGCUACUCUCUGAAUAGAGGAGAAAAGAUUAUGAUGCAACCAAGGUCUAUUAUGAGGGUUAUUCAUCCAGCUAAUGACAUUGGUCGAGUCAGAUUCAGCAAUAAUUUGUUUAUGAUGCAGAUGACAGUUAGAAGCUGAUAAUUCAAUAGCUUUGACAACCGCUUUUAGUUCAGCUACAUUAGAGUCUAAAAUCCCAACUGGCAAGGAGAAUAUACCAAGAAGAAUCCCAUGAUGAUUUCGCAAGACUCUGCCUAUACCUGAGGAUCCCGGCUUCCCAAGAGAGGAACCAUCCACAUUCCAUUUGAAGCAAUUAGUCAUAGGGGGAGACCACACAACAACUGCUCUAUGAUUUGAAGAAUUAGUCCAUCGAACUAGCCCUUCUAUUGACCUUAUUAAUUCUGAAGUGGAAUAAGAGAAAUCAGGCUCUAUAGCCUUUAUCCAAAAGCAGAGACGAGUAAUAAUAAGGAUAAACAAAGUAUCAUAAUUCGGGGUUGUUUGCUUGAAUAUUGCAUCAUUACAAAGAAGCCAAAGAGACCAUGUCAUUGAAAAGAACAACAUCAACCAAGCUUUUUUUUGAAAUUUUCCAUAAACCAAGGAAUCCCACUGAGAGAAAAGAGCCGCCAAGUCUUUUGGGCAACACCACGCUAAGCCCCACCAAUUGAUAAUUUUAAACCAAACUAUCCAAUUUUUAUGACAAUGCAGCAAUAUAUGAUCCACCGAUUCUUCCUCAACAAAGCAAAUUGGACAAGCAGCAACUGAGAUGUUCAAAAUUCCUUUUCUGACCAGCAUACUACGAGUAUUAAUUUUUUUUAAUUAUAGCCAUUCAGCAAACAUUCGUUCUUGUUUGGUAAUGAAAUGAAAGAGAGUUCCACCACUGUUGGUCGUGCGAGGCCUCGCCUUUAUGUUACAUAUUUAUGCUGUUCCUCACCUACUUCCUAACAAUGGGCUGAUCUCUCCCCCCACCUCUUCACUGAGUCUGCUUCUUGAUGAACAGACAGUAACAUCGUCUUCUUUUUUCCAUGAAUGUGCUGCAAUUUGUAUUAUCAUCUCUUAUUACUCUUUCUGAUGCGGCCAAGCCUGAUUAGAUUAGGAAUCAGAGAAGAAGAUGAUGGAAAAAUCACAAAAAAAUUUCAAAAACAAGAAGCCUGCUCGUGCUGUUGUUUCUCGAUAAUUUAUUCUGCCAAAAUCUUCUCCAGGAAAAAUAAAAGGAUAAUAAUAGCUUAAACUGUAGCUGUCCGAACGUAAAAGGAAAAAAGGGAUCUUGGUAGGAAAAUAAAAUCAAAAGUCCAAAAUUAAAGGCUAAAACAAUAAAAUUGAUUAAAACAAUAUUUUUAUAGGCUUAAUUUGAAGGAGCCAAUUAAAUUUACUAUCAAAUCUAAGACCUAUUAAUUUUUUCAAGUUGACUUUGAGUAACUUAUUAAAUCUAACACCUAAAAUUUGCUCUAGAUUAAUUCUUGAAUCGGUUUAAAAACUAUAUAUCUAGUAAUGAUCACACGAGGAUGUUAAGAAAUAUUAAACCUAGAUUCUAAAUUUUACCAUGCACUAAAAGCAUCUCUUGAAAUUCAAUCGCUAAACCAUAAGAGAUGAUCUAAAAUUUAGGAAAGCUUUGCCACUACCCAAUUUAACCCAAACCUAUAGCUCAAGAUUAUAGUUUUUAUAAUCCAUUAAGGCUAUGUUUAUUUACUUGUAGUUUUUGUAUUUUCGGUGCAAAAAACAUAAUAAGAUAUUUGAUAACACACCAAACUAUGUUUUUUUUUUUUUUUAUUGUGGGGCUUACUAAAAAAUUAAGUUUGAAACGCAGUUUUUGAGAAACAAUUUUUACAUGUUUUUAUAACUGAGUUUCGUAAAAGAGUUUCGUAAAACUCUGUUUGUUUUUGCGUUUCAAAAGCACUUUUGAAAAAAAUUAUUUUUUUUUUACUUCAAAUUCAUUUUUUUUUGUUUUUAUAUCAUUUUGAUGCGCUGAUAUCAAAAAUAAUUUUUAAAAAAUAAAAACUUAUUAUGAUACAUUUCCAAAUAAAAAACACUUUGAAAAAUAACUGCAAUCACACAACUACCAAAUAUUUUAUACAUAUUUUUUAUUGUAUAUAAACCUCAACCAUAAUUUUUACUAAAUACAUAUCUAAAUAUAACUAAUUAACCACAUAUAACAAUACUUUUUUAAAAUUUAUUUUUAAAAAAUUAUAAUUAUGAAAAUUAUCUAAAAAACAAACGGCACUCUCUAAGUUGUCCUCUGAACAAGGUUUUAGAAAGCAAUCAAAGUAGAUAAACGACAAGACAAAAGAAUCACUUUUGAGUUGGCAAGGUCCAACCUUCAGACAAACAAAGGACCCGACAUCACUAGGUGUGCUGGGUUGUGUUGGACCCUAAACAGUGAAAAAGAACAAACGUUCUUGGCAGUUAGCAAAUUGUUGUUCAAAUAAAAUAAAUAAUCACAACAAAAAAGCAAACAUGUCUUCCUUUAUUUUUGCAAGAAUCAAGUUGACUCUCAACAUCCAGAAAAUUGUUGGGUUUGGAAUUUGUGUUGCAAUGGUUAUUCCACGCACUUGCAUCUCCAUGUUUGCAGGCUGGGGAUAAGGACCUCUCCCUCCACUGUAGCUUCGCCAGUGACCACACAGUCUACCCCCAUUCUGGGGUUCAAGCUAUGGUUAUUCAUCAUUAAUAACAUUAUAAAAAAGAUUAAGUUGUUACAUGAAAUUAAUUAUUUAAUAAAAAAAAUAAGUUGUUAAUGAAAUUUAACUGUUCUUCCUUCAAAGCCGAUCCAUUCAAUUCUCAACGUGAUUCGUUCUGAAGUAACUACUAUAACCUUAUCUUUAGAGUGUGAUUCCAAAGCUGCAGUAGAAAAGGAACCUAUGACCUGAUGAUUCAUAUCCAUUAUGGAAUAACUAUUACCUUAUCUUUAGAGUGUGAUUCCAAAGCCUAACUAUGAAGGUGAAAAUAAAAAAAUCAGAAGUUCAUGUUUUAGUUCAUGACUCUAGGGACUUUGAUUUGGAGUGAUUCUCAAAAAAUAAUUUGAAGGUGAAAAUACAAGCCUCUCAAUUAUGCAUUUGGAACAUUAAAUUUGAGAAUCAAUAGCAAUACAAAGUUAACUAGUUGCUGAAACAGCAAUAAAAUUUUUAAUAAUAGUUUGUCCAUUAUUAUAUAUAUAUAAAGGGCAUCAAAUUUAAACAAUUCUAGUCUCAUGAAAGUAACUUUUAAUUCCAACCUUCAUUUGCAAAUCUUAAUUAAAAAAGAAGGAAUACAGUAUAUUAUGCUUUCAAAAACUACACAAGCCACUCAAUUAUUUUAGCUUUGGAGGCAACGUAAAGAAAACAUCAAAGCUAUUAGCCAGACAUGGGAAACUAGGAAGGAGAAUUUGCUUAGAACUUUGAUAAUAGAACUGACGCAUGCUGACCAAAUUUUGUUCUUAGCCAACCUAACUGGCAACCAAAACCAAACACUUUACAGCAAAGUAGCUUAUUAUACAAAGAUAACACUUGACAACAAAAACUUUUGAUUUGAUAGCAACCCCACAUUUCAAAAAUGGGACUAAGCUAUUCUUUUUACUGUUUAACAGUUUUGAACACAAAUGAACCCGUGCAGCCAACCUUAACCAGUUCAGUUUGUGGCUUAGUGGAGUCAAAUGAUACUGUAGAAUAGUACAGCUGCAUAGUGGAGUAUACACUGCAUGAUAUAAUCUCGAGGAAGGUAGCAUAGUGACACCACAAUUUUGCAGCCAUUUGAUACAUGACAAAAAAAAAUUGAAAAAGAAGGUAGAGGCAGGAAAACUAUUUCCAAAUUCCAGUUCACCGACUCAUAGGGAAUCACCAUUCAUCAUUGUAUGACCACUUCAUCUAAACUCCCAUAGAUGCAAACUUUCCUUAAGAGGAUAUCAAAAUAUUCCUACACAUUAAGCACUCUCCGAUCACCCAUCUCGUUAUGCUAACUUGCACCUGUAUAGCAAAGAUUUUCACAGAUAUUCCUUUGCCUAUUCUCAUAAUUCCUUUCCCAAAUAUUGCAGAAAAUUGAACAAGUUAGUGAAUACUCAGCAUAAUCAAACAAGAACCAUUAAAAGGUAAGAGUCGUUAUUUAAACUACACAUCUGAUAUUAUGUAGAAAGAAUAUUUUGAAAUUAAUACAAAAGAAGUAAAGCAUCAUCAAAAAGAGUCCACAAGAUGAAUAACCUGAAAGAGCCAUAACAUCAAGGAUUCUUUGAGCUAGUAACAAUUCCAUUAAAACUACGACUAAAAGAAUUUAAAUAGAUGUUUACAAUAACCAAUUUCAUCACUCAACUUGCAAUAACUCCACAUUGUUAGAAUCUAAACAAACACAAACAUGCAUGAUUUAAAAAAAAAAAAAAACUCAUGCAAAUUGAGUUGGGGAUUAAGAAUAAUUACUUGUUGACAAGGGAUGCCUAGUUUUUUGAGCUUCAAAGUCCGAGUAACAAGAAGUUUGUGAAAGUCACCAAUUUCAGAUUCAAGCUUGGUUACAUGGGCUUCAACUCCUUUCCCUAUUCCAUUUAGAAACUCUGGAAUUCCAACUUUCACUGCAACAAAAAUAACAAAAAAGUAACAACAUUCUUCAAGCUCAGCCUCUUAUUAAUUGCAAAGAUUAAAAUCAAAGAAAAAGAAACUUACAACAGAAAAUCUAUAAGAACAUCGUUGUUCCAACAAUGAAAAACAAUGCAUCCACCAAAGAUUCAAUCUUUCAAAACUCAAAUCCAUUUUAAUCUCUCACAGAAAAUCACACAAAAAGAAAUAUCCUUUUCCAGUUACUAUUUACAUGAAAAUCAAAUUUUCUUCAUUUUACACAUGCAAAAAAUGAAAACUUUAUGAGCAGCAAAAGGGAGACAUGAAAAUUAAAGCAAAACCCACCAAUCUAUUCCCAUUUUCAAUCCAAGCAACUAAAAUCGAUUAAGAAAUUAAUUCAAGAACAUGAACUUAGUUAACGAUUACACAAAAAGAAAGAGCUCAAACGAAAAUGUUACCGAGGUAAGGAGAGGAGGAUUUGGAGAAGAAUCUAGAGAGCCCAGGUGUAGAAAUCGCUCGUUGUGGUGGGAUUGAAAAGGCCCUUUUAGUGUUUGUGAAUAUUUGCCUCCAUGUCAUUGCCAUCUCCGUAAAGCUGCUGCCUGCUACGGGGUUUUGGGGUUUUAGCAGAGCGGCCACGUUGUCCAGUGUUUUGAUGUGUUGUAAGUUUAGAAACGACUGGUCAUUGAGACAUUAGGAGGUCAUAGACGGUAUGUCAUUUAUGAUAACAAUAUGUGUCAAAUUAUAUUAUAGUCCCCAUGAAGUUUCUAAUAUUAUAAAUUAGUCCUUUUAGUUUCGAAGAAUCUAGAUAACCCAUUUGUAGAGAUUGCCUGUUGUGUUGGAACUGAAAUUAUUCUUUUUGUGAUUAUAUGCAUUCAUGCCAAGUUUUUUUACUAAAAUUAAAAGAUUAAAUAAUAUUUUUUUCUAAAAUAAAAUUGUUAGUUAAGUGUUAUCAGGAUUUAUCCAACUUGCUAACUUCUAAUAAAACUCUACUACUCAAUAUUAAUCCACAACUCUCUUAUAAAUUAUCUUCAUCAAUCAAUCCUUUGCUCUUAUCAAAAUCUUGCUCUCUUUAAUCCCUAAACAAGCUAGGUUUCUUUCGUUGUUUGUUUCUUGAGAAAACUAUGCAGAUAUUUGUGAGAACCCUGAGACUCAAAACCAUCACCCUUGAUGUUGAAAGCUCCGAGACAGUCGAAGACUUGAAAGCAAAAAUCUAUGAGAAGGAAUUAGGCAUCCGUCCUGAGAACCAACGUCUCAUAUAUUGUGGAAAGCAAUUAGAGGAAGGAAAAACCCUGUCAGAUUACAACAUCCAGAAGAACUCCACUAUCCACCAUGUUCUUAGGCUUUGUGGCGGCGGCAAGCAGCAAGCCUUUUAUUGAUCUUUCUUCAUGAUAUGGCAGAGAAAAUUCACAAAGUGCCUCCUUCUUGAUCAGUUUGUUGCUUAUUUAUCAGAGUAAGUCAUGUAGCUUUUCGUUAGUAUUUCGAAUUCUAAGAGACAAAGACAGAUUUUUUGAAGAAGACAUGGUUUUGGAGAUUGAAUUUUCUUUCGUAAACUUUUUUAAGAUUUUAUAUAUUAAUCAGUUAAGUUUCAUGAUUUUGUUAUCUAUGAUGGUUUGCCAUUAUUGUUAUUCCAUGUUAUCAUGUUAUAAUAGAUGACAUAGUAAUUAAAUCGGUUCUAGCUUAUAACCAUGCCCAAGACUUGGGAUAUAUAUCAUUUUAUUUUUUUACAAUGUUUUUUUUUUUUUUAAAUCAAAUCCAGGUGUGUAUUAAUGACUUAGAGAAAACUCAAAAAUCAGAUCUAAAUCAUUAACUAAAUGCGUUAAUGACCUGCAUUUUAGAUUAUUAAUUAAAUGUGAAUUGAUAAUUCGUAAUUUGAAUUUACCUAUCGUAUUAAUAAUAAUAUAAUUAUGAUAUAAAGAUUCUUAACAAUAAUAGCUAUCACAUGGCCCAUAAUAUACAUUUACGAAAUUGAUUUUUUUCUUGGAUGAUUUUUAUAUUUCAAUUUCAUGUUUUUAAUGAAGAUUAUUAACAAUAAUGGCUUUAACAUAUUAAUGUAACGUUUAUAUGACACCCCCCCCCCACUAGUUUAGUUCGAUUCAAUCUAAUUGAUGGUAAUAACAAAAGAUUUAAUCCCUAGUUGCCUUUUUACCGUACUAAUUCUCUACAAAGGUUAGAAAAAUUAUAAAGUUUCUUCUUGAUUACAAGUAGCUGAAACAUUAUAAUACUUCAAGUGCAAUUCCUCGAUCAUAAUCUAGAACAACGACUAUGUAAAACAAAGUUCUUGAAAAAAAAUAUGUGGCAAGAAGUGGUGGUCUUUAUCCUGUUAAAUUACUCCAUCAUUGUCUGCCAAGAAAAUGUACUUUGUCUUUCAUGACAAGGUAUAGUGCAUUCAAAACCCAAGGCUUUGGCAAUCUGUGCUUGAACAUGAUGCUACCUCCAACUUUGAUUUCUUACCGUGCUGACAUGUUGAUGCUUUUUGCCACCUCUCAAAAGUUUUGACAGUGAAAACUUACAACAGGAUUCAUCAACAGGAAUAGAGGGUCCAUGCAUUUAAAACCGCUAGCUGUACGUAGUUGCAUAGAACAUGCUAACUUGAGUAGGUGCUGAUAUAUAUAUAUAUAUAUAUAUAUAUAUAUAUAUAUAUAUAUAUAAUUUUUUAUUAUAAUAUAAUAAUAUAUAUUAUACAUUAAAACAAAAUAAAAACAAAAAAACUCUAAAACAUUCCAAAAAUCCUUUCAAAAAAUUUAUGAUUUUCUUGUGUAUUUUUUUAUCAAUUUUAAUUAAUAUUAGUUUGUAUUUUUAUAAUAUAAAUAUAUAAUGUUUUUUUUUGGACCGGGUACAAACCAACCCAGCUAUUCAGGUUGAGCUAGAACUAAACCGUCCAAGACGGGGGGUUAAAUAUUCCCCCUGUCCCUCCUUCCUGCAUGCAGAAUGAAUUCUGCAUGCGGGCGCGGCUUGAAGCCGAGGGAAAAUAGAAGGGGAGAAGAGAAAGUUGUGGGGGGGGGGGGGGGGAACCUGGUCGUAGCUAGCUGUCACGGUGAUGGUCAUGCCGUGGAAUAUGCCGAGCGGCUGGUGGUAGUUGCGGCGGAGCUGGCAGCGACAGGUGGUGGUUGUUGCCUUUCUCCUCCACUGUGCAAAGACACAGGGAUCUCUUUUUUUUCUUUCCCUCUUCUGCUUUUAUUUCUAUUAUUUCCACCCCCUCGUCUCUUUUCUAUUUCUUCCCUCCUGGUUCUUUUUUUUUCUUUCCUCUUCUCUUCCCCUCCUCUGUUCUCCCAUGUUUUUCUUCCAACUCUCAAAAUUCCCCCCUCCUGUUUUUUCGUCUCUGCCUCUGUCUCAUUUACCUCCCCAAAACCAUUCCUCCUCUAAAACUUCCCCCAGCUUCUGUUAUUUAUAAGUGCAGGGGAGAGGUAGCCACCCUAUCCUGUACAAGCGCAAGGUAAGGUGGCAUGGGGUGGGUUUUGUUUUGUUUUUUUUCCAAACAGUAUAUGAAACGGUGAUGAUGCGGCCAAAAUGAGCCAUUUUAUUUUAAAAAAUAACGCCAAAAUAUAUCAAUUAUAAAUCGAUCCUCAAUUUUUGAUUUGUUUAACUAAGUUUUCAAUUUCAAUUUUUAUUUUAAAAAUUAAUUCAAUUAUAUCCCUGUCAAAUUCUAAUUUCAUCCAUAAUGUUGGCCAAUGUUUUCAUUUUAGUCCUUGGUCAAAGAUUUAUGCAAUUUGACCCUCAAUUGAUCAACAAACUUUCAAUUUCUUCAAUUUAGCAUCUAAUUCGGACAAUUUCAAUUCCUCUAUUUAUGUGUCUUUUCUAGUUUGGUUCUUGGUUUUGGAUUUCUUCAAUUAAGUUCAUAAUUGGCCAUCAAACUUUAAUAUUUAUGCAAUUAAGCCCUUGAUUUGACCAAUUCAACUCUUGAAAAUUAUAUUUUGACCUCUGAACUUUAAUCUCUUCAAAUUAAAGCUCAAAUUCACUUAAAAAUUAAUUUUUCUUGCAAUCAAACCCUUUAUAAGUUCAAUUACACUUUCAGUUAAAUUUGCAAGUGCACAAAUCGUAACAAGUAAUAAAGUGAUGAGUAGAGUAUCGUCCCACGAGGAUUUGUAAAAAUUACUACUAAUUACCAAAGUCUUUUAAAUUAUGAUCUAUUUGAGGAAUCGAAUAAGAUAGUUUAUGAAACAAAAAUUAAUGAUUAAAAACAAACAACCAAUUGAUUAAAUAUUAAUGAAUUCAAUUGUACUGGUUCUAGGAUUUCUGACUUACCGUAACUAUGCCUACAUGAACUUUCUUGAUUAAAUUAAUUACUCCUAAUGUUGAUAAUCAGGUUUUCCUUAUGUAAAUAUUAAUCUCUCUCGAGCAUCAAUAAAUUAUUUCGACAAACAAAUUUCAUAUACUUUACAAAAUUUCUGAACUUGUCGAAAUUUAUUAAGUACUGUAAAACCUGUAACGAUUACAAAAGUUCUUAGGAUAUCUCUAUCCUAUAGAUUUCUUACGGUAUUUCAAACAAUAGCUAAAACAAUUAUCACUUCUCAGUUUCAAAUUGAAUUCUAAAUCAUGCAGAUGUUGGCCAAACACACGCAAGCAUUACACAUAGAAUGAAAUACUCAACAUCUUAAUGUAAUAAUUCAAUCGAAGAAAUUGUUCACAUAAUCAUAGUAAGGUUACAUCAAAAAUCCCAGAAUAAAAGUCUACUCCAUAGUUAAAUUAAAGAGAAACAAACUUGAUACGAUGAACAUCAAUCAAGAGCAGAGAAUUUCCGUCGAAAAGAUAGGUGUCCUCCCGGUUUUUAAUAGUUUUGCCUCUGCCCCUCUUUUGUUCCCCUUGGUGCCGCCUCCUCUCUUUUUCUUUUCUAUGUUGUAGGGUUUCUGUUCGUCCUCUCUCCUCCUUUUUCUUCUUUUAUAUUGUGGCUUUUCUACCCCUGCAGUAAUGAGGAAAGUUUCCUUUUCUGCAUUAAAUUCCUUCCUACUCAGACAUUGCGGGCCCGAUUUGAGGUAGAAAACGUGCGAAUUCAAAGAUCUCUAUUUCUGGAGAAAUUGUAGAGAAUCAAAUUUUCUUUCCAACGAAACUGAUCUUGCAAUUUUUGGACAUCUGAGGGUUGAGAUAAGGGCCAUAAACCGAAACAGUCUUUGCAGUGCAGGAAUUUCGGGCUGGUUCAAUCCUUGUUUUUCAACUCGCUUUUUGGGCUUCGAAACAACAAAACUGAGUUAUAUGCCCUUCAUAUGUUUUGUAGACCUUCAUCUCAGCUAUUUGAAAAUGGUUACGAACAUCCGAACUAAAUUGUAUAGCUUCUUUGCAGCACAUAAUGAAUCACUGUUCAGUUUCACUGCCGGCUCUGCCUGUUCAGUAACCUAAGAUCUGAAAACACAUUAAUUUCCCACGAGGUCAAUAGUUCAAAAAGAGAUUCAAAAUUCUAAUUGUCUUGUGCAACAUAUCCAAAAUAUUUAAAAAUCAAGCAUGAAUAGAAAAUAUACAUGCUAAAAAUUCCCUUAUCAAAUACCCCAAACUUGAAUGUUUGCUUGUCCUCAAGCAAAAAGGAAACCAUGAAAGCAGAGUGCUAAAAGCUCAUGAUAAGUUCAACUUUCACAUUUAAAAGGCUCCAUCAUGCAGCAUUCACUUCUUGACUUAGCUCAUAGACAAUAUUAGAUAAUGAAAAAUUAAACAUUCCUACUCUCUGUGCAGGUCGUUGUACAAACUUCCAACUCAUCCAUGUGUUUGAUGUGUUUAGCAUCCUUGAACCGUGCACAGUCAUUCCGUCAUUUUUUUUUUUGAACAAGGUAGCCAACUUUAGGAGUAAUAACACACUUUUACUUGUCUUUUGACAAGGGUGAUUUUUUUAAAUUUAUCACUUGUCUUUUGACGCGAAUACAAACAUUUGUGAUGAAUGCACCCGGUUACUUAACAGGUCAUAAACUUAAAAUGCUUUGCAUACUCAUAUUUUAAGUUGCCGUUUGACGUAAAAGUAAACAUUUGUGAUGAAUACUCCUAGUUACUAAGCAACUCAAAACAUUGGAGUAGAUACACAUCAUAUACUUAUUCAUUCACUUUCAUACUCAUUAUCACUCCUUGUUUUAAUAUUUUUCUUAGAGGUAAUAACAAGAAAGAACAACACACUUAUCUCUUAUGCAUAACUACACAAUUCACAUGACUGUGCUGGAAAAGUGUACUUCAAUAAUUCAAAAGAAAAUAGUCAUGCUUAAUCCAACUUUAUAAGAUAUCAUCCGCUCUAAGCCAAGAAAUAUCAUGGUUACAUCAUGAAGCACCUAAAAAUAUCAAAGUUGGUCUUAAAUGCAUAUCACUUUCACCCUCUGUUUUCAUGGUUCUAGUGUGCAGUGUCUUUCAUAGUCAAAGCAUGCAAUGUCUCCCCCAAACUUAAAUAUCACAUUGUCCUUAAUGGAAAAAUAAAGAAUAGAAAGGCUUACGAAUACUUCCUUUUGACUAUGUGGGUGUAAGUUUGUUGUUGCUCCUGGUUAUUUGCUUGUAUGAUCAAUUCCUGCACAAAUCAAUGAAACAAAUAAGGGUUUUUUUUUAAAAAAAAUUUCUUUUUCAUUUUUUUUCUUUUUUGGGUUGCCUCCCAAUCAGCGCUUAGUUAUAGUCAUUAGCUUUACUUUUCCAUUUAUCUAAGAUGAAGUGAGAGGGAUAUCAUCCCUUUUCCCAAUAGACUCUCCAUUCCUAUAAUGCUUCAGACGCUGCCCAUUCACUGUGAAUGUUCCCUUUUCAUCAUGGGUGACCUCUACUGCUCCAUAAGGAAAUACCUUCACAACCGUAAAUGGUCCUGACCAUCGUGAUUUGAGCUUACCAGGAAACAAGCGGAGCCGUGAAUUGAAGAGUAAUACUUGUUGACCAGGGACAAACUCCUUGCGUACAAUGUGUUUGUCAUGCCAUGCCUUGGUUCUUUCCUUGUAUAUCUUGGCAUUUUCAUAGGACUCAUUGCGAAAUUCAUCCAUCUCAUUAAGUUGCAGGAUUCUUUUCUCACCUGCAACCUGCAAAUCCAUGUUCAGUUGUUUCAUUGCCCAGUAUGCCUUAUGCUCUAAUUCAACAGGAAUAUGACAUGCUUUUCCAAAAACUAAUCGAUACGGAGACAUUCCCAAUGGUGUUUUGAAUGCUGUCCGAUAUGCCCACAAUGCAUCAUCUAGCUUUCUUGCCCAAUCUUUCCGAGAAUUACUUACUGUUUUCUCUAAGAUUUGCUUCACCUCUCUAUUUGAUACCUCUGUUUGGCCAUUUGUCUGAGGAUGAUAAGCCAAUGCUCUUUUGUGUCUGACUCCAUACUUAGAUAACAGUGCUUCAAACUGCUUGUUGCAAAAAUGAGUUCCUUCAUCACUGAUGAUGGCUCGAGGAGUACCAAAUCUGGUAAAGAUGUUCUUUCGUAGAAAAUUAAGUACCACCUUGCCAUCAUUUGUAGGCGUUGCAAUUGCCUCGAUCCACUUUGAUACAUAAUCCACUGCUAAGAGAAUGUAUUUGUUGUUAUAGGAUGAAGGAAAAGGUCCCAUGAAAUCGAUGCCCCAAACAUCAAAUAAUUCAACUUCUAGGAUAUUCUGCAGUGGCAUUUCAUUUCGUCGAGAUAUAUUCCCAGUAUGCUGACAUCUAUCACAAGCAGUAACAAAAGCAUGAGCAUCUUUAAACAUAGUGGGCCAAUAAAAACCUGACUGCAAAACUUUGGCUGUAGUGCGUUGUGUUCCAAAGUGCCCCCCAUAUUCAAGUGUGUGGCAAUGCUUCAAUAUAUUUGUCAUUUCCUCUUCUGGAACACACCUCCUGAUGACUUGAUCUGCACAAUGCCGAUAGAGUAUCGGCUCCUCCCAGAAGUAGUGUUUGACUUCAGAAAAAAAUUUCUUCUUUUGCUGGUAAGAAAAAUCUGGCGGUAUGAUCUUACCUGCAAGAAAGUUGACAUAAUCUGCAUACCAAGGAAAGAAUUUGUUAGUGGAAAUUGCUAAGAGUCUUUCAUCAGGAAAACAUUCAUUUAUAACCGUGAAUUUAGGCUCCAGCUGCUGUGUCAAUUCCAGCCUUGAAAGAUGAUCUGCCACCACGUUCUCAGUCCCCUUUUUAUCUUUAAUUUCUACAUCAAAUUCUUGCAGUAAUAGGAUCCAACGGAUGAGUCUAGGCUUGGCAUCUUUCUUAGACACUAGGUGUCUAAUUGCAGCAUGAUCAGUAUACACCAGUACUUUGUUUCCCAUCAGGUAAGGCCGAAACUUAUCAAAUGCAUAGACCACAACAAGCAACUCUUUCUCGGUUGUGGCAUAAUUGAGCUGGGCAUCGUUGAGUGUUCUGCUGGCAUAGUAUAUGGUGUGAAACACAUUAUUUUUCCGUUGCCCCAGUACUGCUCCAACUGCAUAAUCACUUGCAUCACACAUAAGCUCAAAUGGUUUCUCCCAAUCCGGUGCAAUUACAAUAGGAGCUGUCACUAACUUCUUUUUCAACAGCAUAAAGGUUGUCUUGCAUUCCUCAUCAAACUGAAACUUUGUGUCUUUUAGCAGCAGACUGCAUAGCGGUUUGGAUAUUUUAGAGAAGUCUUUGAUGAACCUCCUAUAAAAUCCCGCAUGACCAAGGAAACUCCUAACCCCUUUUACUGUAGUUGGCGGCAGAAGCUUGUCUAUUGCCUCAAUUUUAGCUCUGUCUACCUCUAUUCCUUUUUCUGAAAUCCGGUGCCCCAAUACUAUACCUUCCUUUACCAUGAAGUGACAUUUUUCCCAGUUCAAUAUCAAGUUUGUCUUUUCACAACGCUCCAAAACCAACGCCAACUUUGCAAGGCAGUCAUCAAAAGAAGUUCCAAAUACAGAAAAGUCAUCCAUGAAGAUCUCAAUGAUUUGCUCCACCAUAUCUGAAAAAAUAGCCAUCAUGCACCUCUGAAAGGUAGCUGGUGCAUUACACAACCCAAAAGGCAUUCUUCUGAAAGCAAAAGUACCAUAAGGGCAGGUGAAAGUGGUCUUCUCUGGUCCUCAGGUGCGAUGGCUAUUUGGUUGUAUCCUGAAUAGCCAUCUAGGAAACAGUAGUAUUCAUGCCCAGCUAACCUGUCCAGCAUCUGAUCAAUGAAUGGUAGGGGGAAGUGAUCUUUGCGAGUUGCCUUGUUGAGCUUUCGAUAAUCCAUGCAAAUCCUCCAUCCAGUUACCGGUCUAGUAGGUAUCAAGUUGUUGUUUGCAUCCUUUACCACUGUCAUUCCUCCUUUCUUUGGCACAACUUGAACUGGGCUCACCCAUGAGCUGUCAGAGAUUGGAUAAAUAACACCAGCAUCUAACCAUUUCAGAACUUCUUUUCGGACUACCUCUUUCAUGGUCGGGUUAAGCCUUCUCUGAUGUUCUACUGUUGGCUUGACUUCAUCUUCCAACAGAAUUUUAUGCAUGCAAAUAGAGGGACUGAUGCCUUUGAUAUCUGCUAAUACCCACCCGAGAGCUGCCUUAUGUUUUCUCAACACCCUCAACAAUUUUUCUUCCUCUGUUUUGGUCAGCUUUGCAGAGAUUAUCACAGGAUAGGUGGAAGCUUCUCCAAGAUAUGCAUACCGAAGGUGUUCUGGCAGAGGUUGCAAUUCCAGAACCGGUGCUUGUUCACUGGUUGAUUUUAUUUUUGGUGCUGGUUGUCCCAAAUCUUCAAAGUAUCUUUUGUGGUUAGGUUCAAAAGAGUCCAUCCAACAUGAAUAUUCUGCUAUUUCAGCAUCCUCUUCCAGUACAUUAUUUACCAAACAUGCUUCCAACGGGUCGGUUGGAAGCUUAACUUUGUUGUUAAUUAAGGAGUCCACCACUUGAAUGCUGAAGCAACUCUCCCCUAUAUCUGGUUGUUUGAUGGCUUUGAACACAUUGAAAAUCACCUCCUCUUCAUUCACCCUUAACCGCAGCUCCCCUUUCUUCACAUCAAUUAACGCACCUCUAGUGGCCAAGAAUGGCCGGCCAAGCAAGAUAGGAAUCUCAUUAUCCUUCUCCAUAUCCAGUAUGAUAAAGUAUGCUAGAAAGAUGAACUUGCCCACUUUCACCAGUACAUCUUCAAUUAUUCCCCUUGGAUGCUUCAAUGACCUGUCAGCUAGCUGUAGUGUUACUGUGGUUGGCCUUGUUUCACCUAAACCAAGCUUCUUAAAAAUAGAUAAAGGCAUGAGAUUAAUACUUGCACCUAAAUCACAUAAAGCUUUUUCAAAUAUAGAAUUUCCAAUGGAACAUGGUAUAGUAAAACUCCCUGGAUCCUUAAGUUUAGGAGGCAGUUUCUUCUGCAAAAUAGCACUGCAUUCCUCAGUAAGAGCGACAGUCUCAUAUUCCUCUAGCUUUCUUUUGUUUGAGAGGAUGUCCUUCAGAAAUUUCACAUAGCUUGGCAUUUGUUCAAGAGCAUCUGCAAAAGGAAUGUUAAUCUGCAAUUUUUUAAACACAUCAAGAAAUUUAGAAAAUUGCUUAUCAAGUUUAUUCUUCUUGAGACGUUGUGGAAAUGGAAUUCUAUGCAUUAUUUCUUGCAUUGGUUCUGGCAGAGGAUCAGAUUUUUUCAUAUUCUGAAUUGGUUCGGCCAUUUGCUCCUCUACUUCUUUUUUUGCACUCUUGUUUCCAGCAGUCUGCUCCACUUCUUUUCCACUUCUUAAAGUUAUGGCCUUGCAUUGCUCCUUAGGAUUAAUUUCAGUUGUGCUUGGUAGAUUUCCUUGUUGUCUACCCGUGAGCAUGUUGGCUAACUGACCAACCUGAACCUCCAAAUUUCGAAUUGAGGCUGCUUGGUUCUGCAGAUUGGUAUUUGUUUCAGUCAUGAAUCUGCUGGUGUUGUUUGCUAAUUGUGUCAUAGCUUCUUCAAGUUUUGAUUUCUCUUUCAUGUGCUCACUUGAAGAUGGCAUGGCUGGAUUCUUCAUGACAGUUUGAUUGUUCCACGAGAAAUUAGGAUGAUUUCUCCAACCGGGAUUAUAUGUUGCACUGUAGGGGUUGUUCUGCCGGCUGUAUUUGACACAAAAUGAGCAUGCUCUGCUUGAGAGAAUGGGUUCCCAACCUGACACUCUUCACUGUGUGAUUUCCAUGCAAAAAUCACACGUUGUAUGGAUGGCAUUUGCUGACAGUUGAGUGGUUUUCAGUUGCUGAGUUAGUGAAUGGACUUGAGCUGUUAAUGUCGUGAUUGCAUCAAUUUCGUGCACCCCAACAGUCUUUUCUGUAUGCUUCUUUCAUUUGGCCAUUGGUAAUUGUUCAUAGCCAUUUCUUCCAAUAAGUUGUAAGCAUCAUCCUGUGACUUACUCAUAAAAGCUCCUCCUGAAGCUGCAUCAAUUAGUGUUCUUGUGGAGGCAUUCAAUCCAUUGUAAAAAUUUGCACCUGCAUCCACUUCGGUAGUCCAUGGUGGGGGCAUCGCCUGAGCAAAUCCUUGUAUCUCUCCCAUGCCUCAUACAAUGGUUCACUCUCAAGUUGGGCGAAGUUAGCUAUCUCAAUGCAUUUUUGCUGUCUUGGCUGGUGGAAAAAAUUUAGCAAGGAAUUUCUGAGCUAAAUCUUCCCAGCUGAUAACUGAAUCUGCAGGCAUGGAGUUUAACCAGUUCUUCGCUCUAUCUCGCAAGAAAAUGGAAACAAUCUGAGGCGAAUGGCAUCAUCAGUAACGCCAUUAUGCUUAAAUGUGUCGCAAAUUUCCAAGAAACUUGCAAUAUGGGCGUUAGGAUCAUCACUUGGCAACCCAUAAAACUGAACUGAGGUCUGAAUCAUCUGCAGUAUUGCUGGUUUGAUCUCAAAAUUAUUGGCCUCAAUCCUUGGUUUCCUGAUAACAGAACGGAUUCCUGUCACCUGUGGGAGAGCAAAAUCUCUCAAUGCCCGUGUAUCUUGCUCAGGAUUUUCAUUGUCUGCCAUGAUGCUGAACUGUUUGAGUCUCUCGUGUUUUCUUUCUUAAUCCCCUUGCAGUUCUCUCAAUCUCAGGAUUAUAAGGUAGCAACGGCUGUUUUUGUUGCUUCUCAUGCACUAGACACACACCUAAAGAGCUGAAGACAAAAGGCAAUCAAAUUAGAUCAAAUUUAAUUUAUAUUGAUAUUAUUAGUAAUUUUAUCUAAAAUCCCCGGCAACGGCGCCAAAAACUUGUUGGUUAAUUUGCAAGUGCACAAAUCGUAACAAGUAAUAAAGUGAUGAGUAGAGUAUCGUCCCACGAGGAUUUGUAAAAAUUACUACUAAUUACCAAAGUCUUUUAAAUUAUGAUCUAUUUGAGGAAUCGAAUAAGAUAGUUUAUGAAACAAAAAUUAAUGAUUAAAACAAACAACCAAUUGAUUAAAUAUUAAUGAAUUCAAUUGUACUGGUUCUAGGAUUUCUGACUUACCGUAACUAUGCCUAUGUGAACUUUCUCGAUUAAAUUAAUUACUCCUAAUGUUGAUAAUCAGGUUUUCUUAUGUAAAUAUUAAUCUCUCUCGAGCAUCAAUAAAUUAUUUCGACAAACAAAUUUCAUAUACUCUACGAAAGUUCUGAACUUGUCGAAAUUUAUUAAGUACUGUAAAACCUGUAACGAUUACAAAAGUUCUUAGGAUAUCUCUAUCCUAUAGAUUUCUUAACGGUAUUUCAAACAAUAGCUAAAACAAUUAUCACUUCUCAGUUUCAAAUUGAAUUCUAAAUCAUGCAGAUGUUGGCCAAACACACGCAAGCAUUACACAUAGAAUGAAAUACUCAACAUCUUAAUGUAAUAAUUCAAUCGAAGAAAUUGUUCACAUAAUCAUAGUAAGGUUACAUCAAAAAUCCCAGAAUAAAAGUCUACUCCAUAGUUAAAUUAAAGAGAAACAAACUUGAUACGAUGAACAUCACUCAAAAGCAGAGAAUUUCCGUCGAAAAGAUAGGUGUCCUCCGGUUUUUCAAUAGUUUUGCCUCUGCCCCUCUUUUGUUCCCUUGGUGCCGCCUCUCCUCUUUUUCUUUUCUAUGUUGUAGGGUUUCUGUUCGUCCUCUCUCCCCUUUUUCUUCUUUUAUAUUGUGGCUUUUCUACCCCUGCAGUAAUGAGGAAAGUUUCCUUUCUGCAUUAAAUUCCUUCCUACUCAGACAUUGCGGGCCCGAUUUGAGGUAGAAAACGUGCGAAUUAAAGAUCUCUAUUUCUGGAGAAAUUGUAGAGAAUCAAAUUUUCUUUCCAACAAAACUGAUCUUGCAAUUUUUGGACGUCUGAGUUGAGAUAAGGGCCAUAAACCGAACAGUCUUUGCAGUGCAGGAAUUUCGGGCUGGUUCAAUCCUUGUUUUUCAACUCGCUUUUUGGGCUUCGAAACAACAAAACUGAGUUAUAUGCCCUUCAUAUGUUUUGUAGACCUUCAUCUCAGCUAUUUGAAAAUGGUUACGAACAUCCGAAACUAAAUUGUAUAGUUUCUUUGCAGCACAUAAUGAAUCACUGUUCAGUUUCACUGCCCGGCUCUGCCUGUUCAGUAACCUAAGAUCUGAAAACACAUUAAUUUCCCACGAGGUCAAUAGUUCAAAAAGAGAUUCAAAAUUCUAAUUGUCUUGUGCAACACAUCCAAAAUAUUUAAAAAUCAAGCAUGAAUAGCAUAAAUUAUACAUGCUAAAAAUUCCCUUAUCAUUUUUUAUUCCACAAAAUCAAAUCAAUUGUUCAGAACACAAUAAGUAUGAAGAAAAAGCAAAGUAGUUUACACAGCAAGUUGAAGGAUUUGACUAGUGACACUGAUUGUGGAUCCAAAGUUCAAAAUAAAACAAAUCCCGAUCCAGAGUUCGAGUAAACAGAUCACCAAGUUAAUAUGUCAAUCAAUGGCAGAUCCAAUGUAUGCGUGCGUCGUAGCAUUCCGAAGGAUUCAAAUUGUAAAUGAAGGCCUACAAUUUGUAUAUUUUUCAAUAGGUAACCAAACACUAGUAUGAAUGCGUUAAGAGAGUUGUUAGAAAAUCAAAUGCUCGAACAAAUGACUUUCCAAGUCUAUGAAGAAAAAAGCAAAGUAACUUACAGAAAAAGUUGGAGAAACACCCCGUUCCACAAGCUUGAAGAAAAACAUUAACAGACUAAUGAAAAUAAUUAUGGGGCCCAAGAUCAAAUCAAUUGCUCAAACAAUAAUCAUAAUUUAUUUUAAUUUUGUUAAAUUUUUAUGUUAAAAAAUUUAUGUUGAAAAAUAAUUUUUAAUAUUAAAAAUAAACGGGGUUUGUUUUUUAUUUAACUUUAAAUAUAUCAAUUAAUCAUGUUUUAGAUAAUGUUUUCAUCAAAUAAUUCAAUAUUACAAGAUUAAGCUUAGUUAAUCAUGUAAGAAACCCAUGCAUGCUUCCAAUCUAUAUAUAUAUAUAUAUAUAUAUAUAUUAUAGGAUGAUGUUACAAGUACUGAGGGAGUAUUGUUACAGCUGUUAUGGUCGCUGUUAGUGUAGAUUAAUUAUGGUAGCUGGCAGAUGCAUGGACACGUGUUAGAAAUCAUUUCACUCCGUUAACAAAAAUUAAGGAAGUGUUAGUGCAGAUUACUUAGGGUAGGCGAUAUUGAUAUUUCAAAAGAGAUAUUCUAAAUAUUUCACAAGAAAUAAAAGAGUAUAACUAAAAUUAGAUAAUGAAAUGAAUUAAAAAAAUGAAAGAAAUUUACCUCAUAAAACAAAAAAAGAGAAAUUUACAUGGGAGUGAGAGAGGUAUGCAAUAACAUAUCAAAAUGAAAAGAAGCUUUAUGUUAAUUAAUGAAAGACAAAAAAGAAUUUUUUUUUGAGUAAAUGAGCUGUACGUAUGUAUUAUAUAUUAUAUUAAAAUAUAAUUUAACAAUAACUUUUCACUUUUUUCACUUUUUCGUGUAUCAAACUCUCAUUAACCUAUUAUAUUAAUAUUAUAAUAUUAAAAAUAUAUUUUCAAAAACUUUAAGGGGCAAUUGCUCCUUUUGUACUUACGUGGCUCCACCACUGAGUGCGGAUUAUUUAGGGUAGGCGAUAUUGAUAUUUCAAAAGAGAUAUUCUAAAUAUUUCACAAGAAAUAAAAAUGAGUAGGUGCAGUAAGAAGAAAUUAUUGAUAAUACAAAUCAUUUUCUAAUCUCUUCUGCCAUGUAUUUCAUAAGAUCAAAUCAAUUGUUCAUAUACAGCACCUGACUUCCCAAGUCUAUGAAGAAAAGCAAAGCAGUAAACAAGAAGUUGAAAUUGAUAUCCUUUAAUCCAACACCACAAACCGAGCGAUCUGUGCCGUGAAGACUCUCACAUUCAAUGAAGCCCAAGUCUCCCUUGGAUAAUUCAGCACAGAAAAUUCAAUGAUACAGAUAAUUGUCACUGUCCGAUCAAAUGCAUGAAGAGGACAAAAUUGUCUAUAAGAGACAGCUUGCUUGCUUUUGUAUUUUGUCAAGUAGGAGCGUUAAUAUGAAGAUGAGGCAAAUGUGGAUGUGGAUGCUGCUCAUGGCACUGGCCUUCGUCAACGAGCGGUGCCAUUGUUGUCUAGAGGAAGAGAGAAUUAGUCUCUUAGAGAUAAAAGCUGGGUUCAGUCAUGCACGUGCAGCUGUGUCCUAUGAUCCGCUAGAAGGUUGGGAUAAAGAGCAUUUUAAUUGCUGUAACUGGCAUAGGGUUGUGUGUGACAACACCACAAACCGAGUGAUCGAACUACAUCUUUAUAGCGUAAAUUAUGUAGUUUCUCGACUCAAUGCAUUCGAAGACUUCGAUCUCAAUGCGUCUUUGUUUCUGCCUUUCAAAGAACUGGAGAUUCUCGACUUAGGCUUCAACCAAUUAGUUGGUGGCUUAAAGAACCAAGGUUCUAUGCUUUCAGUUUUUUCUUUUAGUUAACACAUAAAGUUAAUUAUAUUUCAAGUAACUUUACAUUGAAUCUUUAUGGAUAUAGGGAUGAUUCAUAUAUAUAUAUAUAUAUAUAUAUAUAUAUAUAUAUAUAUAUAUAUAUGUCUGUCAUGUUAAUUUCUUUGCUCUAACAAUCUUCUUUCAGGUUUUCAAGUGCUUGCUUCAGGGUUGAGGAAUUUGAAGAAACUUGAUCUGACAGGCAAUAGAUUUAACGAUAGCAUUUUAUCAUCUCUCAGUGGAUUUUCAACUCUCAAAUCUCUAGAUCUAUCAAGCAAUAGGUUCACAGGAUCAAUUGGUCUCAAUGGUAAAGUUGUAAAUCAUUCCUACCUCAGAUGACAUUACCUAGUAAGGUUUAAUAAUUACAUGUGUAUUAACUCUUAAGUUGUUUGGAUGAAACCUUAAAAAGGCUUUAUAUAAUUAAUUCUUUAACGAGUGAAAUAAUUUGAAACUUACAUAUACACGCUAUUAACUUUUGUUCAAUUUUUUUUUUAAUUUUUUUUAAUAAAUGAAGGUGAAUAAUUAAUUAAUUAAAUUUUAAUAUUAUAUUAAAAUUAUUUGAAUUUAAAAACUUAAGCUAUGUCUUGUAUAUUAACUCUAACAUUAUAAGUUUAUUUAAUUAUUGUAAAUCAUUAUUAUUGAUUGUUCUCUCUAUCACAGGUUUAAGGAAUUAUUUGAAUUUAAAAACUUAAGCUAUGUCUUGUAUAUUAACUCUAACAUUAUAAGUUUAUUUAAUUAUUGUAAAUCAUUAUUAUUGAUUGUUCUCUCUAUCACAGGUUUAAGGAAUUUAGAAAUCUUGAAUCUGGUAAACACUGACUUCAAGGAAAGCAUUUUGAUAGAGUCAUUGGGAGCGUUGCCAUCCCUCAAGACCUUAUAUGCCGGUGAUAGUAAUUUUAAACACUUUGGGAAAGGUUAGUGACAGUUUAAUUUGGUGCCUAAAACAAUAUGAUAUUUAUAAUUUAUUGAUGGAUUUAUCUGAUCUGUACCACAGGGUUGUGGAAUUCGUCUAGCCUUGAAAAAGUGUUCCUCAAUUAUUCUUCUCUCCCAGCAAACUUUUUUAGGAACAUUGGACCCUUGUCUACUCUUAAAGUACUAUCUUUGACCGGAGUUGACUUCAAUAGCACCCUAUUUGAUCAAGGUAAUUCUACAAAUGAACAAUUAUAAGAGUAUUGAAAUCCAAAUAACAGUUGUUCACUAGAAGUUUAUAGAAAAGUAUAAAAUCUAGAGUUUCUCAAUCUCUAAAUUUUCUCAGUUUUAAAUUUAGGGUAGUUGGCAGAUGCAUGAACACGUGUUAGAAGUUGUUAAGAGAUGGUUAGAGUUAGUUAACAAUAUAAUAAAUCGUGUAAUAUAUGUGGGGAAGUAUAUAUAUAAUGGUAGGAGGUUUACGCACGCAAGAAAUAAUAGAAUCAUUCCUCUGUUUUUCCUUCUGCUUAACAGAUGAUUAUAUUACAAUACACAAAAUGGAUACUUCCACUUUAUAUGUGAUACGUUAGAAUUCAUGAAUAUUUGGUUAUUAAAAUAUUAAUAUAAUGUCAAAAAAUUAACACACAAUUUAUAUAUUGAUAUAUGUGAUACUUCUUAAUUUCUUUGCUUUCGACAAAUUUCUUUCAGGUUUUCAAGUGCUAGCUUCAAGGUUGAGGAAUUUGGAGGAACUUGAUCUAAGUUACAAUCAAUUUAACGACAGUAUUUUAUCAUCUCUCAGUGUAUUUUCAACUCUCAAAUCUCUAGAUCUAUCAAGCAAUAGGUUCACAGGAUCAACUGGUCUUAAUGGUAAAGUUGUAAUCAUUCCUCCCUCGGAUGGCAUUCCUUAGUGAGGCUUAAUUUAUUCUUUAGUGAAUUUGUCUAAUAAAUAGAUGUGUAUUAACCAUUAACUUUUGUUCAAUUUUUAAAAUUUUAUUAAAGGAUCAACUAGUUAGAAUUUAUAUGUGAUAUGUUAGAAUUCAUGAAUAUUUGGUUAUUAAAAUAUUGAUAUAAUGUCAAAAAAUUAACACACAAUUUAUAUAUUGAUAUAUGUGAUACUUCUUAAUUUCUUUGCUUUCGAUAAAUUUCUUUCAGGUUUUCAAGUGCUAGCUUCAGGGUUGAGGAAUUUGGAGGAACUUGAUCUAAGUUACAAUCAAUUUAACGAUAGUAUUUUAUCAUCUCUCAGUGUAUUUUCAACUCUCAAAUCUCUAGAUCUAUCAGGCAAUAGGUUCACAGGAUCAACUGGUCUUAAUGGUAAAGUUGUAAAUCAUUCCUCCCUCGGAUGACAUUCCUUAGUGAGACUUAAUUUAUUCUUUAGUGAAUUUGUCUAAUAAAUAGAUGUGUAUUAACCAUUAACUUUUGUUCAAUUUUUAAAAUUUUAUUAAAGGAUCAACUAGUUAGAAUUUAUAUGUGAUAUGUUAGAAUUCAUGAAUAUUUGGUUAUUAAAAUAUUGAUAUAAUAUCAAAAAAUUAACACAUAAAUUUAUAUUUCAUUGAAUAUAUAUAUGUUAAUUUCUUUGCUUCCAACAAUUUUCUUUCAGGUUUUCAAGUGCUAGCUUCAGGGUUGAGGAAUUUGGAGAAACUUGGUCUGAAUUAUAAUAAAGAUUUGAACGACGGAAUUUUUUCAUCUCUCAGUGGUUUUUCAUCUCUCAAAUCUCUAGAUCUAUCAGGCAAUAGGUUCACAGGAUCAACUGGUCUCAAUGGUAAAGUUGUAAAUCAUUCCUACCUCAGAUGACAUUCCCUAGUAAGAUUUAAUAAUUACAUGUGUAUUAACCCUUAAGUUGUUUGGAUGAAACCUUAAAAAGGCUUUAUAUAAUUAAUUUUUUAACGAGUGAAAUAAUUUGAAACUUACAUAUACACGCUAUUAACUUUUUUUCAAUUUUUUAAUUUUUUU
rnacentral:lncRNA from 1 species